UAGCUAGACUUCUCAGUUUUUGACAUCCAAGAAUCACAAGUUCCUCCAAAGAACGAAGACGAGUAGGUAAACUUCCUAACAACUUGGGACAAUAUGAAAUGGAGAGCAAGCGGAGUUGUUGGAACACAUCUCCGUCAACUUCACAAGGAUCCCAUUCCUUCCAUUCAAGCAUGUUAUAAAAAAAUAAUUCCUCUAAUUUUGGAAAUGCAAUUGACGCAUUUUCUCCAAAAAAGUUAGAACCCACAACAGUCACCUUAUUCAUGUUCUCGAUAAAAAGGGAUUUUAGCAGUGGUAAUUUUCCAAUUGCUGGUAAUGAUGUGCAAUUUGGACAAUUAUCCAGCUCCAAAUGUGAUAGCUUUUCAAACGAUGGAUCUCCUAUCCAACUUGGGAAUGUUUCACCUCCGUAAUAUUUGAUGGUGAGCCUUUCAAGCAUUGCAUGUGGUCGGAGUGAAUUCAACACGUCCAUGUGAAAUUGAAUUUCUUCUACUGCAAAAGCGUCACGGGAGUACUUCCAUUCCAAAGUUAAAUCAGAAAGGUUUGACUUAUUACAUAACCCAGCCACCAAUGCAUCUUGAGCUUUGACAAUGUUCUCUAAUCCUGAAAUAAUCAGUUCACCCUUUAGAUUAGACAAGUUCCCCAUCUCCUGUAUCUGAAGGCCAUUAUCUUGACUCACAACAAAUCUUGUCAAUGUUUGGAGACUAGUUAGCUCACCAAUUCCCAUCGGCAUCCUUAUUUGUGAAUUUGCACCAGUAAAAUCAAGAUGCCUUAGGUUAAUUAAAUCUCUCAUUUCUAAAGGAAACUCCUUAAGAGCUUUACACCCCCACAAAAUCAAAGUCUCUAAAUUGUAAAGUUUGCAUAUUGAAUCAGGUAGAGUUUUGAUUUCAGUGCGAGAAAAAUUGAGAAAACGCAGAUGUAUCAAAUCUCCAAAAACAUCAAGUAACUUGGUCAAGCGAUACCCUUCUAAAGAAAGCACCCUUAAGCAUUUCAAUUUUGACAACAAAUCACUGAGAACUUGAUUAGAUAUAUAGCAAUACCCGUCAUUUGGCAUCUUCAACUGUAAGAAGGUUCUUAAAUGCUCCAUUCCAUUAAAGACUCGGAAUUUUUUAAUUCCAUCCCUCCGAUCACCAAUGUAAGAUGAGUGGCGAGCAUUAUUGGAAAUGUUCAAUUCCUUGUCACCUUCCACUCUAAAGCAUAAAUCUUUGGCGAUUGAUUGAGCCAAAUCAUUAAUAAGAUCAUGCAUUACAUAUCGAGACUUAUCUUGACUGGAUCUUUCAAAAAAUGACCUUGAUACAAGUUCCUGAAAGAUCUCUUGACCCAAAUCUUCAUUUUGCUUCACAGCUUUCACUCGUAGAAAGCCUUCUGCCAUCCAUAACCGGACUAUUUCUGUCUUAGAAAAUUCAUAAUCUUUGGGGAUUAUGGCACAGUAAGCAAAACAUGGCUUUAGAUGUGGAGGAAGAUGAUGAUAGCUUAGUCGUAAAGCUGGAAUUAUGUUACAUCCCUCCUCUUUCCACACCUCAUUUUCUAGUAUAUCUUUCCACACAACAAGGCCCACCUCAUUGCGCAAAAGGCCUCCAAUGGUCUUAGCUGCCAAAGGCAAGCCCCUGCAUUUCUCCGCCAUCUUUACACCAAUUUCUUUCAAGUGCGGAUGGCCACUAAAAUCUUUUGCUUGGAAUGCAUGUCCAGUUAAUACAGAAAGGCAAUCUUCAUCUGGCAACUUUUGCAGCUUGUAAUCAUCUGGGAUAGUUCUCGUCAUUCUUGAAACACUUUGGUCGCGUGUUGUCACGAUAAUUGUAGUUCCUUUUCCAAAAGGGGCUACUAGGAUAGUCCAAUCAUUAUAGAUUUGAUGCCAAAGAUCAUCCAAAAUGAGAAGUAGUUUUUUUCCAGAGAGCUUCUCCUUCAAUUUUAUUUGAAGAUUAUUCAAAUUAGCUUCAGCAUCACCAGACUUAUGGCCAACUGAUGACAAAAUUGAUUUUGUUAUAUCCGUGAUAUCAAAAUUUUCAGAAACACAUACCCAUGCUUUGAGAUCAAAAUAAUCAUUCACGCGAUUAUCAUUGUAGACAAGCUGAGCAAGAGUUGUCUUACCAAUCCCUCCCAUGCCAACGAUGGGAAUCACAACCUUUCCUUCAUCAUCACUCUCGACGAGCAAUUCGAGUAUUUUCUCCUUGUCUUUGUCUCUACCAUACACAUGAGUUUCAAUCUCCACAGAAGUAGGUUGCAGCCGUCCUUCUAUCCUUUUGGAUCUAUGGCAGUCCUUCAUUCUCUUCUGUAACUUUUUUCUCUCUGGUUCUAAAGCUUUCAAUCUGACAGUGACAUCAUUUAUCUUGGACAUCAUGUCCCUGUAAAAACUAACAGCACCGAGUGGUUCAGUGAUCAUGAGUCUUGGUUUCUUACUUGAGCUACCUCGACGUUCCAUCAUCAAAUUGCGUCUCGAAAUUUCGGUUGCAAGCUCGUCCAAGACGUCGUCCACAUCGUAUGCCAAGAUUUGGAGGUGGAACAACCAGAUUUUGACGAACUUAUCUUUGAGCUGCCUCUCCUCAGCAUCAUCAAGCACAGCACGAAUCUCCAGCAAUUCCUUCUUCAACUUCUCCAUCCCCUCGUGAAUCUUCUUCUCGGUAGCAAAUUGCAGUAAGUCAGAAGACACCAACUUGUCUAUGAGAAAGUCGAAGAACUUGGAGACAACAACUUCUCCUAUGGCGGACAAGGCAUCAAAGAAAGACAUGGUUGGAGGAAAUCAAAGCAGAGAAAAUUUAGAAAAGAGUAGAGAUAGAGGCGAAGUGAGUAAAGAUUAGUUGUAUUGGUGACUUUUAUUUGUCUGUGUCCGUUGAUUUUGACAAUCUUUUACAGACAUGUGGCUAAGCUUUUUGGUGUAAAAAUAAUUUAUAAAGCACUGAUAUUUAUUACACUUAUUUUUUUACUUAUUUUAAAAUAAUAAUAAGUAUAUAUAAAAGACAUUAAUUUUAAAAAUGUAAAUGAAUAAAUGAGAAUUAUAUAUAAGAAAUAAUUAAUAUUUCAAUAUAUAUAAAUAAAAUUUCAUAAUAUUAAUUAUUGUCCUCUAAAGUUAGUGUUUUAAUGAAAGGUAACUUUGGAAAAGUGUUUUUCAUUUUAAUAAAGUGGACAUUAUUUUGAAACAUUUUAAAAUAAUAAGAUGGAUUGCAACAAAGUGAGGAUUAAUAUUUAUAAUGAAAAGUAUUUUUAAUGAAAGUCAUUUGAUAUAAUUAUAAUUCUUAUAUAUUUACAAAUUAAAUAAAUCUAAUUGAUAUUAAAAAUAAAAAAUUUUGUGAUGCCAAUUUAGAAUGAUAAGAAACAUAUAUGACUAUUUCCAUCAAUCAAAAAGUAUAUUCAAUAUCCAUAAGUUUAUAUAUACUAGUAUUUAGUGUCACUGUUUUUUAUUUAUUUUUAAAUACUAAUAAUUUUAUAUAAAAUAUAUUAAAUGUUGUUAAAGUGAAAAUGUAAUUAUCUAUAAAUAUAAGGCACUUAUAAUUAAAAAACAAUUAUAUAUAAAAUAAUUAAUUAAUAUUUCAACUAUAAAAUUUAUAAAUUAUUCUGUACUAAGAAAAUUACUUUUCAAUACAAUUCCAACGUCUCUUUGGCAGCUGGCCCUAGCCAUGGUUGGUCCUAUGAAGGUGAUAACCCUAAGAAAAUUUAUCUAAAAAAAAUUAAAUUUUUAACCAUAACAUUUCAUUAACUAUGAAUAUAGAUAACCCUAAGAAAAUUUAAUUGUCUGAUUACUCAUAAAUAGUAUCAAUAAUACAUAUAAUAAUUUUAUAAUUAUUUAUUUUUUACUCAUAGUUGGAUAAUUGGAAAUUUUAGCUUUUUUCUAUGAAAAGAUUUAUAUUUAAUAUCUUUUUUUUGGGUAAGAUUGGAAACAAUAUUUGUUUUAAUAAUGACAUCAAUUCCACAAUCAAAAUUUAAUUAUCUUGUUGUUAAUAUGCUUGUACAUAUUAAGUCAUAUUUUAUUAAUUUUAUGUGAACGAAAUCAUACUCUAUUGUUUUAUCAUUAAUUAGAAGAAAUUGAAUUUUAUUCCAUUGGUAAAAGUUAUUAAUUUAUCAUUUGAAAUCAAAUUAGAAAGUAUAGUGAUAAAAUUACCUCCAUUCAAAGAGGAAUGAUAAAUUUAAUACACCAUCUGAAAUAAAAUGAUAAAUUUGAAUCUUGUCCCUUUUAAUAAAACAGCUACUAUUCUUUAAUACAUACACUUAUAUUCAAAGUUUGACACAUCAAUUUAAUUUUACAAAAAAACAAGUUGAUUUAAUUGGAAAAAAAAUGAAAAAAUUAUUUGUUUCAAUGUAGGUGAUCUUGUAUUCAAAGUUUGAUACUUCAAUUUAACUAUUACUAGCUAUAGGUCCACAAAAUAUAAAAAAAAAUCGUUCACCUUGAUAUAAUAAGUGAUUUUUAAUUUGAGUCUUAUUAGUGAUUUAUCUUAAUAGUAUCCAAUGAAAAUAGUAUGAAUUUCAGGAAUCUUUUACAGUCGACUUUGAAGUUAGAAAGCAGGGUAGAAUUUACGUAUGAAUUUGAUUCCCACAAAGCCCCUCUUCAUGGUGAUUUCUAUAUUGGAAACAGGUUGAAACAUGGAAACUGCAUAUCCAAUUUCGUCCGAAGCUUCGUUUAUUAGAGUAAAGAGGAACGUAUAAAAUGGAGGCGUCAUCUUUAGACUAAGAGACUCUUUGGCAGGUAGGCCCCGCCCCCCCACGCGCCCCCCCAGUCCCCACGGUUGGACCUACAGACUUAAUAAUUGCCACAACCAGAAGUGCUCGAGCUAAUAUUUUACAAUUUAUCAAAAGUAGAUAAAGACAUGAUGCUUUAACAAAGAGCAUGCUAUGAGAUGGCUUAAAUGAGUUGUAAGACUAAGCUUUCAUUUUAGUUCCUAAUUAUCUAUUAAUUAUUUUAUCUAAAUUUUCAAGUAAAUUUUUAUAUCUUUUAUUUAAUUGAACGUAAUAACAAUAUAAAGAUUUAUCAAAAUAUUCUUAAAUAAUUAAAAACUUAUUUGAGUAUUAUAUUUUUUAUUUUCUAUUCUAAUCAUUCAGAUAUAGGUUGUACUAACAAAAAAUAGAUUUUUUUAUUAGAAAUUGAGUGUGAAAUGGGGCAGAGCUAACUAUGAAAGAGUUGAAGUAGAAGUAAAAAACAGAGAAAUUCAGGAAUCUUUUACGAUGGACCCACACGGCUUUGAAGUUAGAAGGCAGGGUAGAAUUUAUGUAUGAAUUUGAUUCCCACAAAGCACCUUUUCUUGGUGAUUUCUAUAUUGGAAAAGUUGAAACAAGGAAACUGUAUUAAUAUCCAAUUUCCUUUUGAUAAAUGCAUCUUUCAUGCUAUAAAUUAAAGUUGAAGUGCACGUUUGGCCAAAUUAUGAACUAACUACUUCAUUGAUUAGGUACUAAAUGAACGUUUCCAAGUAGCUUCUUUGUCUCUAAAGAAUGGUCUUCUCUCUCUCUCUAAGCAAUUUAAAGUAAAAAAUCUCUUUUCUUUGGACAUGACCUUUUAUAACAUUCUGAAAAAAUAAAAUGACUCAAAAAGAAGAAAUCAGAAAAUCUUAAUGAAAAAUAGAAUCAGGGAAACCUAUUAUGUUUAGUAGGUAUUAAAUGAAAGUUUCCAAGUAGGGAAACCUAUUAUCUCUCCUCAUUUUCCAACUCUAUGCUAAAGAAUGGUUUUCUCUCUCUCUCUCUCUCUCUCUCUCUCACAAAGCAAUUUAAAGCUAAAACCUCUUUUCCUUGGAAAUGACCUUUUCUACCAUUCCAAGAUGAUGGAGUUAGGUAUGAAAACCUACUCAUAAAUACUUUGAAUACUACCAGAUUGAAAAAAAAAUCAUAAUAUUUGAAAAUAUUUUUAAACUAUUCAAAAAAUUCAAAAAUAAAUAUUAUNNNNNNNNNNNNNNNNNNNNNNNNNNNNNNNNNNNNNNNNNNNNNNNNNNNNNNNNNNNNNNNNNNNNNNNNNNNNNNNNNNNNNNNNNNNNNNNNNNNNNNNNNNNNNNNNNNNNNNNNNNNNNNNNNNNAUUUUAAUUCUAAUAAUUUAUCCAAUUAUUAAUUAUAAAAUUUAUUUAUUUAAAAUAAAAGUAUAAAUUUUUUUAAUAUUUAAUUUUUUUUAAAAUAUUACAACAUACAAAAUAUUAAUUAAGUAUUAGAUAAAAAAAUUGUUUAAAUUGAAGAAGAUAUUAAUUACAUGUGCCGGUGUAAUGUCCUAUAAUCCAAGUCACGAGUGAAACACUAUAGAAUUUAUGAGUUGAAAAGUAAAGAAUAGUUGGCAAAAUGUAGUGUCAGUUUCAUCUAGAUAAGGUUGAGAAGAACUCUCAUUCUCCCUAAACCUUCUCUGUUCAUUUCUUUUUUUUUUUCGUAGUUUCCUUGUCUCUGUUGUGUUGGUGGGAUGUCCUUUCAAAAAUUUAAGAUCAAAAGUUUCAACUGUAACAAUUAAUAGCUAAAUAUUUUUUAUUUUUUAUAAUUAAGAGUUAAGGUGAGAGGUAUCUUACGCGUGUAGGAUACGUGCAUGACAUGAAUGAUGAUUUGUAGGAUAAAAUAUAGAAUGAUAGUUUUGUUAGAAAGUCUUUUCGGUUAAGUCAAAAUCAUUCAAAUUAUGAUGUGACGUGUAACAAUUAAAUUUUUUAACAUGACAUGUAAUAACUAAAUCUUCAAUAAAACGCGUAAUAACUAUAUUUUUUAACAUGAUUUGUAACAAUUAAAUUUUUCAACAUAACGUGUAACAAUUAAAUUUUCAAUAUGAUGUAUAAUAAUUAAAUUUUUAAUAUAAUGUCAAUGUGUAAUAAUUAUAAUUUUUAACAUGACAUAUAACAUAACAUAUUUAUUGUACUAAUAAAAAUAAAUCUUUUUUUUUAUCAGAAAUUGUGUGUGAAAUGGUGUAAAGGUGACUCUGAAAAAUUGAAGCAGAAAACAGAACAAUUGGGGAAUCUUUUACGAUGGACCCACACGGCUUUGACGCUAGAACGCAGGGUAGAAUUCAUGUAUCAAUUUAAUUCCCACAAAGCGCCUUUUCUUUGUGAUUUCUAUAUCUACUUUCGUCCGAAGCAUGGUUUAUUCGGAGUAAGAGAAACGAUGGACCCCACUCUUUGGCAGCUCCUACUUUACAAUUAUUCUACUUCACUUUAUCAAAUGUUGAUGAAGGGAUUGUAAGACUAGGCUUCCAUUUUAGCUCAUAAUUAUCUAUCAAUUAUUUUAUCUAAAUUUCCAAGUCAAUCUUUAUCAACCAAUGCUCCACCAACUGAAAGUUAUGGUUUAUCUCUAUUUUUAGAUAUAUACUAUUACCCCAAAAUUUUAAGUUUCUUAUACUUAUAGUUGUAUUGAUUGCACUUUUAUCAAAAGUUUUUCAAGAACUAGAGAGGUUUUUUUUAGAUUUGAUAAUUUUGAACACAAUUAUAUUUUAAGUUUCUUAUACUUAAGCAUUGUGUGAUGCCACACUCUAUGAGUUUUAUGAAUUGGGAGGAAUGAUUUAAGUAUUUUACUGGAAAAAGAUGAGAUGGAGAUGAAAUAUUUUUCAUAAUUAAAAAGAGAUUUAUGAUUGGAAUCAAGGCUAUUGAAGGAAACAAAGUUAUUGACGAGUUUAGGGUGAUGGUUAAAUCCACAAAUUUUCAUUUCUCUUAUAAAAAUGAAAAGUUCUAAAUAAGAAUUUUUUUAGAUUUCUCUUAAGAAAAAUGAGUUUAAAUUUUAAGCUUUGUAAGUUGUGGAGAGAUUUUAAGAGAUUCAUCUAGUUCUGUGGUAGGUAUCUUCUUUGAACCAUUAGCGAAGCAUGACUUGAAAUAUAUUGAUUUGAUCAUGGCAAUCAAAAUUGCUCAUCAUGUUUUUAGUCUAUUUUUUUGGAUGGGUAAGAAAUCUCUUAUUGUUUACACUGAUUCCAAGGUGGCUUUAUUUUAAGAGCGUAACUUGAAUCCAAGACCACAAGAUAAAUAGAAAAUAUUUAGUAAGAUUGAUAAGUUAAGGUCUGUGCAUACUCUCAAAGAAGUUAACAUCUUUGCGGAUUCUCUUGUCAAAUUCUUAAGCCGUAUAUAUAAUGUACAAGUAAUCAAUAAAUACCCUAUACUCACCCCAAAGGACAACACCUUACAAAAAAAUUAAGGAGGAAAAAAGUACACAAAGAUCAUAUACAAGAGGAAACAGUUAAAUUGAUAAAAGCAAUUAAAAUAUGAAACUAAAAUCCUAAUUUGCAAGGACGUAAACUGAUUAGUAGAUUUUACGACCUUCAUUUGAUUUAUUUUUUAUAAUAUAAUUUGAUAAUGUAUUUUGUUUGCUAUGCCUCUCAAGUAGCCCAGAACUACAAGCUAGAAAUAAGUUCAAAGAUUGAUAAUGAAAAGACAUAAGCCAACCUAAUUAUUAUCGUUCUUACCAAGGGAGAAGUCAAUGAAAACACCUUAUUAGUCAACUAGAUACAUUCUUAUGAUUUCAACCUUCAUAAGGUUACCAGCAAACACAAGAUGAUAUACUCAAUUUUGAAGUUGGGAUUUGUACAUAUUUGGGCUGGAGAUGCCAAGAAUUUGAAAAGCUAUAUCACACGUUUGAAACCAUUUUCAUUUCCUAUUGAUAAAUGCAUCUUUCAUGCUAUAAAUUAAAUCCAAUACAUUUGAAGCGCAUGUUUGGCCAACUUAUGAACUAGUUACUUCAUUCAUUAGGUGUUGAGUGAAAGUUUCCAAGUAACUUCCUUGUUCUCCUCAUUUCCAAGUCUAUGCUAAAGAAUGGUCUUCUCUUCUUCUCUCAAAGCAAUUAAAAGCAAAAGCGUCUUUUCCUUAGAAAUGACCUUUUGUAAUAUUCCAAGAUGAUAAGAGUUAGGCAUGGAAACCUACUCAUAAAAUCCUUUGUACACUACUCAGAUUAAAAAUGAAAAAGAAAAAGAAAUUUUCCUUGUAUUGUACCUGAAAAUCAUAAAAUAAAAAAUGACAUAAUACUUGAAAAUGUUCUUGAAUUAUUAAGAAAAUUUUAAAUAAAUUUUUAUUUUUAUAUUAUAUUCAAUUAAAUUAUUAUAUUUUUAUUUUUAGUCAAAUAAAUAAUCAUAAUUAAUGAUUGAUUAAUUACUCACAUGAUGUUGAUAUAAAAAAUAAAAAUAUCACAUGAUUAUGAUAUUAUGUCACAUCAAUAUAUCAUUUUAUCAUUUAUUAUAUCAUACCAACAUGUCAUGUCGACGCAAUAUAAUAUAGAUUGAUAAAUAAUAUUUUGAUUAAUAACAAAUUGAUUAAUUAUUAAUUAUAAAAAUUUAUUUAAUUCAAAUAAAAAUAUAAAUACUUAAUUGAAUAAAAAAUAAAAUCUUUAUUUAAAUUUAUUUAAUAAUUUAAAAUUUUUUAAAUACUAUGACAUUCAAGAUAUUAACUAAAUAUAAAAUAUAAUGUCCUGUAACCAAAGUCACGAGUCGAACACUAAAGAAUUUAUGAGUUGAAAAGUAAAGAAUAGUACGAGAAAAUGGGGUGUCAUUUUCUCUCAAAGUGCUUGUCUCUUAAGCUUUUCUGAUCAUUUCUUUUCUUUUAUGUAGUUUCCUUGCCUUUGUUGUGUCGGUGGGAUGUCCUGUAAAGUCACGAGUCUUUUCAUUCUUCAUCUUCUCCACUCCACAAUGUAAUUUUCAAUGACCACUAAAACAUGGUUAAGUUUUAGUUUUUAACAACAAUAAAUUUUAUUUAAAUACCAAUAAUUAGUUGUACCCAAAAAAGAAAUAUCAAUAAUAAGAGUGGUCGUAUUGUGUUAUUGAAAAUGUAUUAUUGUUAUAAUCAAAUUAAAAUUUUAUCUCAUGCUUUGUUUAAUUAUUUUUUAAUUUUAAGCUUUGCAGGUUUUGGAGAGAUUUUAAGAGAUUCAUCCAAUUCUAUGGCAGAUAUCUUUUUUGAACCAUUAGCCAUCCAUGACUUGAAUUAUACUUAUUUGAUCAUGGCAAUUAAUAUUGCUCAUCGUGUUUUUAGUUUAUAUUUUUGGAUUGGUGAGAAAUCUUUUAUUGUCGAGAUGGAUUCUAAAGUGGCUUUAUUUUAAGUGCGUAACUUAAAUUCAAGAUCGUGAGAUAAAAAGAGAAUAUUUAACGAGAUUGAUAAGUUAACAUUUGUGCAUACUCUCAAAGAAGUUAACAUCUUUGCAGAUUCUUUUGUCAAAUUCUUAAGCCCUAUAUAUAAUGUGAAAGUAACCAAUAAAUAUCCUAUAUUCACUCCUCAUAACAACACCUCACAAAAAAAAUUGAGGGGAAAAAAAGUACACAAGGAUCAUAUACAAGAGGAAACAAUUAAAUUGAUAAAAAAUUAAAAAGUGAAACUCAAAUCCUAAUUUAUAAGAACAUAAAUUGAUUAGUAGAUCUUACUACUUUCAUAUGAUUUAUUUAUAUAAUAUAAUUUGAUAAUGUAUUUUGUUUGCUAUGCCUCCUAAGUUGCCCAAACUACAAGCAAGAAAUAAGUCCAAAUAAUAAUGAAAGGUCAUAAGCCAACCAAAUUAUCUUCUCACCAAAAAAUAAAAGUCAAUGAAAGCACCUUAUUAAUCAACUAGAUACAUUCUCAUUAUUUCAACCAGGUUACCAGCAGUCACAGGAAGAUGAACUCAGUUUUAAAGUUGGGAUUUGUACAUGUUUGGGUCGAAGGUAGCUGCAGUGAUCGGACAUAACCUGAUAGAGAAUAAGUAUGGUACAAUUGAAAUCAGAUAGUUUUCGUGUACACAAGGUAUCCAGCUAUCAUCUUCACCUAUUCCCAUGCGCUUGUGGUCAAGAUGCACUUUCUAAACAAUGAAAAAAAUAACAUGACAAGGUCACGUUGACUGAUAAAUAAGGGCAAAGAAUUUAGAUUUGAGUGAAUAUUAAAUAAAAUCUAAAAGUAAUUAGUAAUAAUAUGCAAGUACAGAUGAACAAGAAAUCCAAAAAUCUAAGCCUUAAUACACCUUUGAUUUAUUGGCAAUUUGACAUGUAUCGGGUGUAUGUAUGCUCUUAUGUAUUAUACAAAGAAAAAAUAUUAUCUAUCUUGAAAAGGAUCUUAUGAUUACAGUUUUUCAAAUUCUGACCUGUAUAAAAAAGAGCUACUAUUAUCAAAUAUGUAAUUAACCCUUUCCAAAUUAACAAAUAAUCUUUAGAUUUUGGGAAAAACAAAGUAGAAUGUGAAUUUCCUGAUUUUGCCCCCCUUUCGCUUGAUGGUACAACUUUCAACAUCUUUAAUAGGGUAGAAAUUGCGUCAGCGGCUCCUACCUCAUCUAGACAACCAAAACCCCUCGCCGUAUGUUAAAUCCUUAUCGAUGCUCUCAUUUCCAUGGAUUUCUCUAAAAUCCAUUUUCGUCCCAUCUUGUUCUGUCAAUAAUUUCUUUUAUAAAAUCGUUUUGAUUAAAUUGUUAACAAAGGAAAUCAUGUAAUUAUUGUACUUUCAUUUUAUUAUUAAUAAUUAUAAUUUUUUUUUUUGUGAAUCCUACCUAUCAAUUUACAUAAUAAUAUAUAACUAUCAUAACAUUAAAUGUAAUAAAAGUUUCAAAUACAAAUUUUGAUAUAACAAAGUUAAUAUAAUUUUCAAAAGAUUUAUAAAUAAAAUAAAAUAAUAAUCUCAAUAUUACAAUUAAUUUAACUUUUUAAAUUCAACAUAAAUUUUUAAAUUUAACUAGUUAAACAUGAGUAAAUAUACACAUAUAAGGAUAUAAAAAAUAAAUAAUAGUAUAAACGGGGCAGGACAGGUGGGCGGGGCAACCACAUACGUCUUGUCCCACCCAACCUAUCAAACAAAAAUAUUGCCCCACUCCUAACCCGCCUUACUUUUCAAUAAAAAAAAAAACCCUCAUUCGAGGUGGAAUCCAUGGAGUAGCUUGGACUUUGCCAUCCGUACCUUUGAAAUAGGAAUGAACAUGUAAUCAACUUUUACACAAUAUAUGUGGGCUAUGUUGAACCCCUUGCAACUGUUUUAAUAGAGAGGUUGGAUUUGAUCUUGUUUAAUUUGUUACUAAGCAACAUCUAAAGGAAAUUGGAAACGUUUCAAAUUGUUUUAGGAUAGUGGAACUUGAAGGAGGAAAGAAAAAAAAAACCUAUAAGUAUAUCCUUUUGAUGUGCAACAUAUAAAGAAAAUGGUGGAGCUAUAUUUGGGUGAUUCCAAAUUCGGUUGAAUGCUUUAUUAGAAAGAUCACGAGGAAUAAGUUCAAUCAUAAGUCUUCUUCACUGAAUGGCAUAAUGAGAACACACUAGUUAUGGAUGACGGAUGAAAAACCAAAGAAUAAAGAAGACAAGCAAAACUCACUGUUUAAAUAAAAGAGAAUGCAGAGCAUAUAAAGCUGGAAAUGCACCGUUUUACUAAGGAGAUUUAUUAACCUUUUCUUUAAUUUUCUAUUAAGUUAGUUGAAUGUAAUUAUUAUGCCUUUUCUUAUUUACUUUACUAUUUAAACACUGUAUAUAUAUUUUUUCUCAUUGAGCAUUGAUUGAAUAGAAAAACCUUGAGAAAUUUUCUCAAGGCUAUGUCGUCUUGUUCUUUUCUUCUGCUCAUUUCUUGACAUGAUAUUAGAGUAGCUUGGAAUCCAACUGACAGUCAGUAUUCUUUUACAGUAGCAAAAGGACUAUUUCAUCAAUAGAGGACAAAUUUGUUACCUAUUCAGCAUCAAUAUUUAGUCUUCUUGCUACUACAUCAUCACUCAGGUUCAUCUAAUCCUUUUAGUAAAAUUUACUCUUUAGUGUUUAGUUCUUAAGAGUACUUUAUUAUCAUUUGAGAAAUCAUGGCUGAGAACAUAAAAUCUAGAACUCAGUCUGGUACACAGACUAAUGCACAAAUCAAGACUCAAAUCACCAAAAUAUCACAUCUAGUAGACCCUCAACCCCUUUAUUACCUACAUCACACCGAUAGUCCUAAUUCAGUGGUUAUUAGCCCCAAACUUACCAGCAACAAUUACAUAGCAUGGAGUAGGUCUUUUUUGCUAGAAAUAUCUAUUAGGAACAAAAUUGGUUUCCUAAAUGGUUCCAUACCUAAACCUCAGGGUACAAAUCCUCUUUACCUAUCUUGGACCCGUUGUAACAAUUUAUUGGUAGCUUGGUUGCUUGAUUCGAUCACACAAUCAAUAGCCUUAACCAUUUUCUUCAUGGACUCAAUAGGUAAAAUAUGAUUUAAUUUGUGAAAUUUGUCCACUUGCAAAGCAAAGAAAACUUCCCUUUCUUGUGCAUAUUCAAAACAUAAAAACAGCUUUUGAAUUAAUACAUGUAGAUGUUUGGGGUCCAUAUAAGACACCAACAUUAUCUAAUCAAAGAUUCUUUCUCACUAUAGUGGAUGACUUUACAUGAUUUACUUGGAUUUUUCUCAUGAGAAGCAAGUUAGAUGUUCUAUCAAUAAUUCCUUCUUUCAACAACUAUGUUCAAAGGCAAUUUGGUUCUUUAAUCAAAUGUAUUAGGUCAGAUAAUAAACUAGAACUAAGGAUGACAGAUUUCUUUGAUAAAACUAGAAUCAUACAUCAUUUAUCAUGUAUUGAAACUCCUCAACAAAAUGGAAUUGUUGAGAGAAAGCAUUAACAUAUCUUGAUGGUAGCUAGGACCUUAAUGUUUUAGUUCGAUAUACCUAUGCAUUUUUUGGGAGAUGCAGUUUUAAUAGCAGUGCAUAUCAUUAAUAGAGUACCUACCAAAUUACUACAAAACAAAUCCCCAUUUGAGUUAUUAUAUGGGAAGCUACCUUCUUAUGACCAUUUAAGAUUGUUUGGGAGCUUGUGGUAUGUGUUUACACUGUCACACAACAGAAAGAAAUUGGAUAAAAGAGCCUUCAAAUUCUCAUGUCAUAGGCUGCAAAUGGGUUUAUAAGGUCAAGCUGAAUGCAAAUGGCACUGUUGAAAGGUACAAAGCCCGGCUAGUUGCUAAGGGCUAUAAUCAAGUAGCUAGGCUUGACUAUCAAGAAACAUUCAGCCCAGUUGCCAAGCAUACAACUGUCAGAGUAUUUUUUUCUUUGGCAGCAACUUUGAAUCUGAAUUUAUCUUAACUUGAUUUAGACAAUGCUUUACUAAAUGGUGAUCUAGAAGAAGAAGUGUAUAUAUAACUGUCAUAGGGGUAUGAAAUCCAGAGGGGAGUAUCCGCAAGGAAUACAACUUGUUUGUGAACUCCAUAAGUCACUAUAUGGCCUGAAGCAAGAUUCUAGGCAAUGGAAUGUCAAGAUUACUUCCCUAAUUCUACAAUAUGGGUUUCAUUAGUCCAUUACAGACUAUUCUCUAUUUACCAAGAAAGAAAAAUAUGGUAAUUUCAUUGCUCUAUUAUUAUAUGUAGAUGACAUAUUGAUUGGGAGCACAUCAUCGCAGGUUGUAACAAAAAUGAAACAAUUUAUGAGCUCACAUUUCAAACUCAAAGACUUGGGAAAGGUCAAGUACUUUCUUGGAUUAGAAAUAAAAAGGGUUUCUUGAAGGAAUUUCAAUAUGUUAAUGGAAAUAUGCCUUAGAUCUCUUAGAGGAACAUGGGUUGCUAGGGGCUAAGGCAAUAUCCACUCCUAUUGACUACAACCACAAACUGUAGAAGACUCAAGAUGGGGACAGGUUAGUUAAUCCAAUAAACUAUAGGCAGAUAGUUGGAAAGUUAUUGUACCUUACAUUUAACAGACUAGAUAUCUCAUAUGCAGUGCAAAUACUAUCAUAGUUCAUGGACAAACUAGGGCUCAAGCAUCUCACAGCAACUCACAGGGAAUUGAAAUACCUUAAAGGUUCACUAGGACAGAGGAUCUUGAUGAAGUCUAAAUAAAAUUUAAAGUUAUCUGCCUACUAUGACAGUGAUUGGGCAGGGUGCCAAGAUUCGAGGAGAUCAAUGAGUGGAUACAAUAUUUUUAUUGUGGAUUCCUUGGUAACAUGGAAAUCAAAGAAACAGCCUGUUGUGGCAAGAAGCUCAGCAGAAGCAAAGUACCGGUGUAUGGCAUCAACAUGUUGUGAAGUUGUUUGGUUAAAACACUUACUCUCAAAUUUUGGGAUAGAAUGUAUAGAUGUUGUAAUCCUUUAUUCUGACAGUCAAUCAGCAAUACACAUCAACAAGAAUCCAGUCUUCCAUGAGAGGACCAAGCACAUUGAGUUAGAUUGUCAUUUCAUCAGAAAGCAGGUGCUUGAAGGUAUAAUUAAACCAAUGUACAUGUCAACCAAUUUGCAACUCGCAGACAUGUUCACUAAGGCAUUAACACCAAGGUAGUUUUACAAUCUUCUAAGCAAGAUGAAUGUUCAUAACAUUCAUAUGUCAUUUUGAAGGGGAGUAUUAGAAAGAUCACGAGGAAUAAGCUCAAUCCUAAGCCUUCUUCACUGAAUGGCAAAAUAAGAAUACUCUAGUUGUGGGUGAGGGAUGGAAAAACCAGAGAAUAAAAAGAGACAAGUAAAGCUCACCGUUUUAAAAAAAGAGUAUGCAAAGCAUAUGAAGUUGGAAAAGCAUCGUUUCACUAAGGAGAUUUAUUAGCCUUUUCUUUAAUUUUCUUUUAAGUUAGUUGAAUGUAAUUAUUAUGAUUUUUCUUCUUUACUUUACUGUUUAAACAUUGUAUGUAUAUUUAUGCUCAUUAAGCAUUGAUUGAAUAGAAAAAACCCUGAGAAAGUUUCUCAAUGUUGUGCCGUCUUGUUCUUUUCUUUUACUGUAAAUGAAGUAGUUUUCUACACUUCUACUGGCUAAUUCUAAUACUGUAAGCACAUGGCCAAUGAAUAAUGAUCACUUUCUAACGUAAUAGAAAAAUAGUAAUCACUUUUUUUUUACUCUUCUCUAAAACGAGAGAAAAAAACUCAAAUUACCAUUUUUUUUCUUUUUGUAGUUUCCUUGCCUUCGUUGUGUCGGUUGAAUGUCCUUUCAAAAGUCACGAGUCUCACAAGAAAAUAUAGUCUUUUUAGUGCAAAAUGUGGUGUCAUUUCAUUGUUCAUCUUCCCCUUCACUCCACAAUGUAUUUUUCAUUUUUUAGUGACCACUAAAAAAUGGUUAAAUUUUAGCAUUUAACAACAAUAAAUUUGAUUUAAAUAUCAAUAAUUAGUUGUACCCAAAAAGGAAAUACCACUAAUAGGAGAAGUGGUAUUGUGUUACUGAAAAUGUAUUAUUCUUGUAAACAAAUUAAAUUUUUUAUCUUAUGUGUAGUUUAAUAAUUUUUUUAAUAUUUGUGUUUAAGAUUUUGAGAUGAAGUGUUCAUUUUGAAUAUUAAUAUUGGACUUGAGAUGAAUUAAUGAGAUGAAUUAAUGUCAAAUCUUAAAAGGUGGGGUAAUUUAUCUAAAAAAAUUAGAUUUUUAACCCUAACAUUUCAUGAACCAUGAAUAUGGAUAAUGCUAAGAAAAUUCAAUUGUUUGAUUACUCACAAAUAGCAUCAAUAAUAAAUAUAAUAAUUUUAUAAUUAUUUAUUUUUUAUAAAUAAUUGGAUAAUUGGACAUUUUAGCAUUUUUUCUAUGAAAAUAUUUGUAUUUAAUUUUUAUUACUGUAAAUUUAGAUAGGUAGAUCAAAUUUAUCUUUUAUUUUUAAAAGGAUGUAAUUUUUAUUACCGUAACUUUUAAUUGAUUAAAAUAUAAUUAAAUAUUAUCAAUAAAAGAAUGUUAUAUAAAAUAUUUUAAUUUUUUAUCAUUUUAAAUUAAAUUAGAAAGUAUAAUGAUAAAUUUAUGUCCAUUUAAAGAUGAAUGACAAAUUUAAUAUACCAUGUUAAAUAGAAUAGUAAAAUUUAUAUAAUAUGUCCAUUUAUGUUAAUGCUAUCUAAUAAAAAAAGUAAUUUCUAGCAUCCUUCUAAAAGUUGAAGCAACUUAUUUGCUCCAAAAUUUUCACAUGGAAAGAUAUUUGACUAAUACUCAAUUUGGGGUUAAAAUUUUUAGGUUUUGGUCAAUUUAGGGCUAAAUAUUUCAAUUGUAACAAUUAAAGACUACACGUUUUUGGUCUCCUUACAAUUAAAAUUGUAACAUCAUGUGUAGCAACUGCAUUUUUCAAUAUAAUAUGUAACAAUUAAAUUUUCAAUAUGGCAUAUAACAACUAUAUUUUCAACAUAAUAUGUAACAAUUAUUUCCAAAUCAGUUGCCAUGUCAUCAACUCAACUGAUUUUUUGUCGCGUGUGAUACAAUUUCUAUUCACUUAUCAACUUAACCCUUAAUUAUAAAGAAUAAAAAAUGUUUGACCUUUAAUUAUUACAAUUGAAAUGUUUGACUCUUAAUUGUUACAAUUGAAACAUUUGACCCUUAAUUGAAAAGAUAUCCAAAGGUUUAACCCCAAUUAAAGCAUUUAGCCAAGAUAUUUUAUUGAUAUGAAACAUUGCCAACAGAUUCUAAUAAAAUGUAAUACAUUGUAACACAUUAUGCCUACGUGUCAAUAUAUGAGAGGUAAUACUUUUGUAGGUUAACACUUUCAUAUUUUUUAAAUAACGUAAUAAAAUGUACUAACUAAUUUAUUUUCAAUGCUAAUCAUUCAAAUAUUUGUUGUAUUAACAAAAAUAAAUCUUUUUUUUUAUCAGAAAUUGAGCGUGAAAUGGAGUAGAGGUAACUGUGAAAGACUUGAAGUGGAAGUAAAAAGCAGAGAAAUUCAGGAAUAUUUUAGGAUGGACCCACACGACUCUUAAGUUAAAAAGCAGAGUAGAAUUUAUGUAUGAAUUUGAUUCCCACAAAGCCCCUGUUCUUGGUGAUUUCUACAUUGGAAAAAAGUUGAAACAUGGAAACUGCAUAUCCAAUUUCGUCCGAAGCUUGAUUUAUUAGAGUAAAAGAAACGUAUAAAAUGGAGGCAUCAUCUUUAGAGUAGGAGACUCUUUGGCAGCUAGCCCUCCCCAGUCCCCACGGUUGGACCUACAGACUUAAUAAUUGCCACAACCAGAAGUGCUCCAGCUCAUACUUCACAAUUAUUCUACUUCACUUUAUCAAAAGUUGAUAAAGACAUGAUGCUUUAACAAAGAGCAUGCUAUGAGAUGGCUUAAAUGGAUUGUAAGACUAAGCUUUCAUUUUAGUUCCUAAUCUAUCGAUUAUUUGAUCUAAAUUUCCAAGUAAAAGUUAUACUUUUACUCUAGAACUUUGGACUUUCUAAUACUUACUUAUCUUGACUUGCACUUUUACCAAAAGUCUUGCGAGAAUUAGAUGUGUUUCUUUCAAAAAUAAUUGUUGUUUAUAGGUUUGGUGUGAUUUGUACCGCAUGAAUUGCUGUCAUAUAUUAAUUUCAUGGUAUUAUUCAUGAAUUAUCUGAUGUUAUAUUUUUUAAUGCUACCAUUUGUAUUAACCAAAUUUAUUUCAUGAAAUAUUUCAAUUCUAUUGUUUUUUUUCUUCAAAAUCAACGAAAUUAAAAGUAUAAUGAUUACUUCACUCUAAAAAAAAAGUAUAAUGAUAACAUUCAAUAAAAUUAUAAAUAUAAUGAAAAACUUUAAUAUUAAGUCGUGACAAAUUUCGCCAUUAUCACUGUCCAAUUCAUUCUCAGGCUCUAUAUAUAAUGUGCAAGUAACCAAUAAAUUCCCUAUAUUCACCCCAAAGAGCAACACCUUUACAAAAAAUAGAGCGAAAAGAGAAGUACACAAGGAUCAUAUACAAAAGGAAACAAAUAAAUUGAUCAAACAAUUUCAAUGUGAAACUCAAAUCCUAAUUUGCAAGUAUAUAUAUAUAUAAUUUGAUAGUGCAUUUCGUUUGCUAUGCCUCCCAAACUACAAGCAGAAAUAAGUUCAAAGAUUAAUAAUGAAAAGUCACAAGCAACCUAAUUAUCAUUCUUACAUAAAAAGGAAAAGGAAAAGUCAAUGAAAGCACUUUAUUAGCAACCAGAUACAUUCUCUUGAUUCCAACCUUUGGAAGGUUACCAGCAAACACAAGAGGAUGGACUCAAUUUUGUGAAUGUUAUGGCCAGAGGUACCUGCAGUGAUGGGACACAACCUGAUAGAGAAAGAGUAUGGCACAAUCGGAGUAAGAUACUUUCUGUGUAUCUAGGGUUUUUUUUUCCAAAGGGAGAAGGGGAUUUGAACUCUGUUUUUUAAGCUGGGGAUUAUACACCAUCCAAUGAGUUAAACAAUGAAAAAACAUAAUAUGACAAGGUCACAUUGGUUGAUAGAUAAGUGGAAGGAAUGAGAUUUGCGUAAAGAUGAACAAGACAUCCAGAAAUCUAAGCCUUAAGACACGUUCAAUUCAUUGGAAAUUUGACAUGUAUUGUGUGUAUGUACAUAUGGUAUGUAUAUGAAAAAAGGGUAUGCAACCUCCCAGUGUGCCUACAAACAACAAACAUAACACUUUUCAUCGUUCCAAUCUCAAAAUGAAGGUCCUGAUUAAUUUCAUAUUCAUGCAAAAAACAUAAAACAAAUCGACAGGAGAGACAUGAAUUACUCAGACUUCCAAGUGUACUUUGUCAAGGUGAUACUUUGUCAUUCCAAGUAUCCUUAGCAGAACAUUCAGUUAACCAUUGAUACCAGGACAAUUGUUCUAUUUGACUUGCAACAUCUUUCUUUCUUUUCUUUUGUUCACAUUUUCUAUUCUUUUCUUUCUUUUCCUUUUGGCCAAGUAUCCUUAGCAGAACAUUCAGUUAGCAUGCUACCAUGAUCACCACCUUAGUGUAAGACUUGCAUACCUGCAGUAAUAACAGGGAAAUGUCAUUUUUUGAAAUCAAUGCUCAUAUAAUCUUAACAAAAAUGACAUGAAGCAAAAUAGUAGUAGUAUUUAGUCACCUGGCCUCCAAUUUGAUUAUAGAUAAGUGACCAUCUUCUAAACCAUGAAAUGAAUUUGCAAAAGUGGAUCAUACUACUCUAUUUAUCAGUAAUCUGAAAGUUUAGAAUGAACAUAAAUCAACAGAUUUUAAAUGAAGUUACAGUAACAGAAAUUUAUAAAAGAAAAAAAAUCUAAUACAAUAGUUCAAUCAGAAGCAAUUGGUUCCAUUAUUUUUUUUUUUUUUGAAAAGUGAAUUUAUUCAACCUCAAUACUGGUAUGCCAUCUCAAGUCUCUUGUCUAAAUGCCCAAAGACUACCGUGGCAUUAGAGACCUGGUAUGGGUGUGUAAACUCGAACAAUUACAUUAAGAAAGCCAGCCAAAAAAUUUGGUGGCUGCUCAAAGAGAUGGAAACCAUAAAAAUUAAAAAAAAAUGCCCUGUGAAACCAAAUUUUUGGAAAUUUGAGGUUGUAUAUACCAUGGGGUAGAUCUUGGAGAUUUGUACAAUUUGAGAGGUAGAGCACUUUGAGGUUUGUGGCGGGCAAACCAAUUUCUGGAAAGGAAACCAAAUUUGUACAUUCUAUGUUAAUCUUCUGGAGAUGGCAGAGCCUGUUCAAACCUUGAGGUAAAUAAUUAAUCUUAUCACAAUCAGAGAUAAGAAUACAUUCAAGAGCAGCAUUUUGUUGAAUUUCUUGGGCUAUUGAUUCUAGCUUUGGACAAUACUCUAUUUGCAAUUCUUUUAGCCCUCUAGGUAACUGACCUCUUGAUGAUAAAGAUACAAGAGAUGAACAACCUAAAACAUUCAAGUGCUCAAGAAGAAAUGCACUGUCGAUGUUGAUAUUCUCUCCCUCAUCCCACAAACAGCGUAAAUUAUGACAAAACCAAAUCCUCAGCCUAUUCCGGCUCAAAGGCAAAUUGCUCUUUGAAAGCGAAAUCAGUUUCGGGCAAGACUCGAGCACUAGCACCCUAAGCGACGUGAAGGACUGCAAGGUUGUUGAUAUCUUUUCUAGCUUUUCACAAUCCUCUACUACCAUACGUUCAAUGCUGUAAGGGAUCUUCAAUUGCAUCAAUUCUUCUCUUUCCCCUUCUACCCCUAUGGAUAAAAGUUGCGCACAGCCUCUAAUUGUCAAAUUACCAAGGGACAUUGACUGAGUUAACAAUCCCCAAUUGUUCUCUCGCGAAGAGAACAACUCUUCACAUCUAAGAAUCUUAAGGGAUUCCACUCUUAUUGAUCCUAACCUCAAACAUUCUCUUGUACAAGUAAACUUGGGAAUGUUUGAAAAAAAGACUUUUUGUAAUGAACUAUGAUCUGCAAACCCUUUAUAUACUACCUUCUCGCAUUCAUCAAUUUCUAAUUCUGAAAGCUUUGGAAAGCUUGAAAUUGAAAUUUCCAAUUUCUCACAGCUUUUAAUCACAAGUUUCUCCAAUGCAGGAAGCGAUUCCGGUAUACUUCCCAACAGUUCGGAGCAAUAGCAAAUAUGGAGCUCUCGAAGUUUCGAAAAUUUCAUGGCUUCAUCAUCAACUUCCCAAUUCUCCCAGUUAAGCAUGUAUCCAAAUCGUAAAAUCUCCAAUGAUGAAAAUGCAUUUGGUGUGUUUUCUCCUAAGAACUCGAGUCCAACACUAGUUACAUUAUGCAAUCCCUGGAUGCAUACUUCUUUCAACAAUGGCAAUUUCCCAAUUGAUGGCAAUGACAUGCAAUUUAGACAAUUUAUGAGGGAUAAAGAUAGUAAAUUAUUGAACGAAGAAUCUCCUACCCAUUUUGCCAAUGUGUCACCACAAUAGCCCACAAUGGUGAGCUUCUUAAGCUUUUUAGAAGGUUGAAGCGAAUCCAACACCUUUUUCUCAACUUCUUCUGUUGCAUUACCAAAGCAGCUACACCAUUUCAAUUCUAACCCAUCGAGUCCCAUCUUCUCUUGUAACUUAGCCCCACAUGCAUCUUGAGUUUCAAUAACAUUUUCUAACCCAGAAAUACAAAGUUGACCCUUGAGUUUGGUUAAAUCCUUUAGCUCCCUUAUUUGAUAGCCCUUUCUUUUACCGGCGACAAAAUUAGAAAGUGUUUGAAGAUUAGUCAAUCUACCAAAAUUACUUGGCAUGCCUUGUAAUCUAAUUGCAUCAAUGAUAUCAAGAUGACAUAGGUUCACUAAGUUUUCCAUCUCUGAAGGUUGCUUCACAAGGUGCUCACACCUCCUUAACAAAAGGGUUUCUAAAUUAUAGAGGGUGCUUAUUGACUCAGGCAAGCUUCUAAUAAAGGUGCGAGAAAUAUAUAGGUAGCGUAAGUGUUUUAAAUCUCCUAUAAAAUCUGACAACACUUUGAUCUUAUACCCUUUCAAAGAAAGCACCCUCAAGCAUCUCAAACAUGGCAACAAACAUGUUAGAACAUUGCUGGUUACAAAGCCAUUACCAUAACUUGACAACCUCAAUGGCAAAAAGGUUCGUAAAUACUUUGCUUCCCAAAUGCCUUUAAACUUUUUGAUGCCAUCACACUCAUCAGCAAUGUAAGAUAAGUGGCGAGCCUGCUUUGAAAUUUGCUUAUCACGCUCUAUUCUAAAGCAUAUUUCUCCAGCAACUGAUUGAGCCAGAUCAUGAAUGAGGUCAUGCAUAACAAAUCGAGAAUUAUCGUUGCUGGAUAUUUGCAAAAGAGACCUUGAUAGUAGAUUUCUAAAGUACUGGUGACCCAAAUCUUCAAUGCGUUGUCUAUCUCGUGCUUCUUGUAGAAAACCUUCUGCCCUCCAUAACAAAAUUAUCUCUUCUUCUUCAAAUUCAUAAUCCUUAGGAAAAAUGGAGCAAUACGCGAAGCAUCGUCUCAAAUGCGGAGGAAGAUGAUGGUAACUUAAUUGUAGAGCUGGAAUUAUACCACAUUGAUGUUCUGAUAAUUGCCAUAUCUCACUCUCUAAUAUAUUUUUCCAAGCAUCAUGUUCAACAUUCGUACGUAACAAUCGUCUCAAAUGCUCAAACCCAUGCUUUGAGGUCAAAAUGAUUUUGGAUACUAGCAUCAUUGUAAACAAGUUGGGCCAAGGUUGUCUUACCAACCCCUCCCAUGCCAACGAUGGGAAUCACAAAAUUUCGUUCAUCAUCACUCUUGAAGGGCAAUUCGAGUAUUGUCUCCUUGUCUUUGUCUCUACCAUAAACAUGAGUUUCGAUCUCCACAGAAGUAGGCUGCGGCCGUUCUUCUAUCCUUUUGGAUCUACGGUAGUCUCUCGUUCUCUUCUGCAACUUUUUUUUCUGUGGUUCUAAAUCUUUCAAUCUGGCAGUGACAUCAUUUAUCUUGGACAUCAUGUCCCUGUUAAACAUAACAGCGAUGUAUGAAUCAGAAAUCAUGAGUCUGGGUUUCUUACUUGAGCUACCUCGACGUUCCAUCAUCAAAUUGCGCAUUGAAAUGUCGGUUGCAAUCUCGUCCAAAAUGUCCUCCACGUCGUAUGCCAAGUUCUGCACGAAUCUUUUAGCUGCCUCUCCUCAGCAUCAUCCAGCACUGCACGAAUCUCCAGCAAUUCCGUCUUCAACUUCUCGAUCUCCAGGUGGAUCUUCUUUUCAGUAGCAAAUUGCAGGAAGUCAGAAGAGACCAACUUGUCUAUGAGAAAGUCUAAGAACUUGGAGACAACAACUUCUCGUAUAGCGGACAGAGCAUCAAAGAAAGACAUGGUUGCGUUCUUGCAAGAAAUUGCAGGAAAUCAAAGUAGAGAUAAUUCAGAAAAGGGUGAAGCUAGAGGUGAAAGUUAGUCACGAUUAAUUGAAUUAGUGAUCACUUUGAUUUGUCCUUGUGUCCACCGAUAUUGAGAAUACUUCAGAGAUGGAACUUCCCGAUGCAUGUUUAUUGGAGUGAUGUUUUAGCCUGUUCUAGAUGUUUAAGAUGCUCCCCUGAGAAUGAUUGGAAAAUCAGAAUGUAGGAAUAUUAAUUAAGCAUAGGACCCAGAACCCAACAAGUUUUAAUUGUAUUUUAAUAUUCCAAAGAAGAUUGGGCGGCUGACCAGGGGUCGUUUGGACACACAACAUUUUUUAAUGUUCAUUUUUAUUGGAUAAAAUAUACAUAAUUUUCAAAUAUUUAAUUAGGUAAAAUAGUUACAUUUUUAUUUUUUUUAAAUGGCUUCCUAUUGUAUCCUCUAAUGGAUUAAAAAAAUUACCACUUGUAAUUGAACAUUAAUCACUUUCUAACAUAAUAAGGAAGUUUUAAAUUCUCUUUUCUAAAACAAGAGAAAAAACUCAAAUUUUCGUUCUUUAAAUCAAAUGAUUCAUGCACACAGAACUUUCCAAAAAAAAAAAAUCAAAUGAUUAACCUCAACUCUAAAAAAUUGUAAAACUUGACAAAUGCAAUAUGAUGCAAGAGCAGCAAAUUAAACUUUCAAAUUUACUAUUAUUGCUUCGUUCCCAUACACUACAACUCCCCAUUGGGAGUCCAAACCUAUUUGAAGCCUUUAUGAAUCCCAUGACUAUCGACAUAAGACAAGUAAUUAAAUUUGAAAUUAUUUAAAAAAAUUUAAAAGUUCAAAAAUCGUUUCCAAAAAUAUUUAGUUGUAUAGAAAAUAGUUAUAGUAAGUCUAAUUUUAUUGUAAGGUCAAUUCAUAUGAUUUUAAAAAAAUAAUUAAAAUCUAUCUAACAGGUUAAUAAGUAAACAACAUAACUAAUUUUUUACGUUAAUCCAUUUUAUGUUUACAAAAUAGGUAAUUGUUGAUCUUAUCUUAUUUAAAUGUUAUUUAAUUUUUCUUUUUAUUUUAUAUUUUACCUUAAAAUAUAAUAAUAAUAAUAUUUUUUUAUUAUUAACAUUCUAUCUAACCAAUUUAAUUCAAUUAAACUUUUUAUCAUAACUUAUUGCGUUAACUCUUACACAUUUAUGUUAAUAUUUGAAUAAUGUUUGUUUCACUUGUAUGAUUUUUUACGUUAAUUCUCAUAAAUUCACAUAAAGGUUUUCAAUUGUUAAUUUUUGCUAUAAUUAUUUUUAUCCUUGUUAUUAUUUAUUUGUAAAUUAAAAUUUGUAAAUCGUGAAAUACUUUUAGCUCGAUAAUAUAAAUUUAAAUAUUUAAUUUUUACAAAAAUUAUACACAUUUAUGUUAAUAUUUUAACAAUGUUUGUUCCAUCUUUAUAAUUUUUCAUUCUUUUUGUUAUAAAAUUAAGUCUUUAAGAGUCAAACACUACAGAAUUUCUGUUCUUUUCUUUUCCUUUCUUAGUUUCCUUGCCUUAUGCUGUGUCGGUGUGAUGUCUAGUUUCCAAAGUCAUCAGCCUGACAACAAAAUGUAUUCUUCAAGAGUCAAACACUAUAGAAUUCUUUGUUCUUUUCUUUUCCUUUCAUAGUUUCCGUACCUUUGCUGUGUCGGUGCGAUGUCUAGUUUCCAAAGUCACCAGUCUGACAACAAAAUGUAGUCUUUAAGAGUCAAAAUAGGGUAAAAUAUUCUUACCCUCUCACUUUGAAUUAUAAUUUUAUACAAGUUCAUUAAUUUUUGAAAAAAAAACUCCACUCCUAAAAAAUAUUUUUUAUUAAACACAUAAGUUCAACUAUUAAUCAACUGUUAAUGUUUCCGUUAGUUUGAUAAUGUGUCAAUAGUGAAAAGAUAAUUUUACCUUUUAUUAUUUUUAAAAAUUACUAUUAUUUCAAUUUUUUUUACAAAAAAAAAAAAUCAAGAAAGCACCGUUUGGUGCUCCCCAAGGGAGGGAGCACCGAUCUAGGAGAGGGUGCUCCCUUCCCUAGGGGAGCACCUGUCGUGGGGUGGUCAGCAGGCGAAUGGGAGCGUUGCCGGUCGACCACAAUGUUUUGAGAGAAAAAAAAAAAAAAGAAAAAGAAGAAAGAGCAUUUUAGUUAUUUUAUAUUUUUGUUAACAGUGUUUACAUUUUUGAAUAGAAUGUUUAUUUCGAAAACUAAUGGACCGUCUGAAAUUAUAACUAAAGUAACAAAGUGACAGUUUUUUACUCGUCAAAAUAUGACAUCAUUUUCAUUGUUCAUCUUCUCCACCACUCCACAAUGUAUUUUCAUUUUUCAAUGACCACUAAACAGUGGUUCAAUUUUGGUUUGUACCUAAAAGGAAAAUACCAAUAAUAAGUUGCGUAAUUGAAAACUCAUUAUUGUUAUAAACAAAUUAAAUUUAUUUUAUGCGUAGUUUAAUAAUUUUUCUAAAGGGUACCUUAUAAUUAAGAAAAAAAAUAAGGAAAGAGAUUGGAUGCUUUAAAAUUGAUAUUUUGAGGAAAACUGAAAAUUAAUGAGAGUUUUCUUUUGUUUUUUGUAGAAUAAAAGUGAAUAUUUAAAAUAACAAAAUUUUAAGCAGAAUAAUAUGACCAGUUUCAUGAUUGGAAAAUGGGAAGUUCAUUAGUUAUCGAGUGAAAGUUUGCAAAUGCAAAGAAUGGUCUUCUCUCUCUCCCCUUCUAAAAGCAAGCAAAAGCAAAAACCUCUUUUCCUUGGAAAUCACCUUUAGCAGCAUUCCAAGAUGAUGGAGUUACGUAGAACAUCAUCCAAGAUAUGUAUGAAGAAUAGGAAGAAGAACCCAACAAGUUUUAAUCUUAUUUUAAUAUUACAAAUUGUAUUGGACGGCUGACCACGAGUAAAUAUGUAUAUAUUUACUAACAUUUUUAAAUAUGUAUAUAUUUAUUAAUUUAAAAGAAAAACAAAAAGUGUAAUGAAAGUGAUUAGAUAUUUGGAUAUUGAUAUUUUAAAAACAAAUAUAUAUUUAUAUUUGAUAACCAUGGGUAUAUUGAUCUUAAGUAUUAUUAUUGAGAAAGAUGUUGUGGUUUCAUUAAUGAGUAAAUCUAAAAAUUUAUAUAAAAAAAUACCACUUGCUAAGCAAAUGAUCCAUAAACAAUAAUCACUUUCUCUAUUUCAUAUUAGUUGAAACAAAAUUACUUUAUAUAAAAGAUCUCAAAAUUCUCUUCUCUAAAUCGAGAGAAAAAAAAACUUACAUUUCCAUUCUUUAAAGCAAAUAACCAACCUCAAAUCUAAAAAGUUGUAAAACUUAACAAAUACAAAUUAUUACAAAAGAGAAGAAAAAAACUAUUGAAAAAUAUGAAUUAUGAGCAUACCACACAAUUUUUUUUCUUUUUUUUUUUACUCAAAAUUGUUUUUUUUUUUUACAUAGCCAUCAUAUUAAUCACUAAUGGCAUUUAUUUAACCAAAAACAUGAGCUUAUGGAUGAAAACUAAAGCAUGUAAAGAGAAAAAUUGAAAGAAAUUAACAACAACUUGGGCUUUGCUUGCCAUUUUGCUUUUUUAGAAAAAUGGAAGAAACUUGUGUUGCCAUAUAAUUGAUAUGAAUUGACCUUUGUUUGUUGCUAUAAGCCAACUUAAAUGGCAUGACGGCUUUAUGCUUAAUAAAAACACUUUUCAGAUAAAAGAAAAAAAAAAGAAACUAGACUUGAAGGAAACUUGCAGAAAAGUUUCUUCAAGAAAUGACAAAAUAAUAUUCAGAUUCCUAUUAUAUGUUUGAUGAAUGCUUCAUGCUCCAAUAGCUUUUCAAGUAAUUGCUAUUUUCAAACGAGAUCGAUCAUUCGCAAGCUCUAACAAGAAACAGAAAUUGCUAUUUUCUUAAAACCAAUUCCAAUUCCUUUUAAACCUUGAUCCCUAGAUAUCAUUCUCAAUAACAGGGAGUUGAUUAAGGCCAAGACAUCAAGACUAUUAUUCUAUACAACUUUGGGAGAGAUUUUAAACAAUAUAAACUAAAUUAAAAUAUUAAAAAAAUCUUUAAUUUAUCGUAUUAAUUUUCUAAUUUUUAAAAAUAUAUUUUCAUGAAAUUUAUGACAACCCUUUAAUCUGUUAAUUAGUGGAAUUUUUAAAACUGCAAUGACUAUUUAUUAUAUAAUGACAAAAUAAAAAUUGUUUAAUGGCAUAUGAAUAUUAUUCAAGGCCUUAACCGCAGGAUGAGGCACCAAACAAGUUGUAAUUGUGUUAUAUAUUCCAAAUUGAGUUAAUUGUGGACAGCUAUACCGCAAUGGUUUGUUUAGACUGAUCCCCACUAUAAAAUUGAAAUAUGAUUAAUGGCAUAAUCACACAGGAUGACGAAUUCAACAAGCUUUGACUCUAACAACUCCAAUAUAAGUAGAGAAAUUGGAGGAAAAUGGAAGUAGAGAAAAUUCAGAAAAGGAUGGAGCUAGAGGUGAAAGUUAGUCAGGAUUAAUUGAAUUGGUGAUCACUUUGAUUUGUCCUUGUGUCCGUCGAUAUCGAAAAUACCUUAGAGAUGGAACUUCCCUAUGCAUGUCUAUUGGAGUGAUAUUUUUUAGCCUGUUCUAAACGUUUAAGAUGCUCCCUUGAGAAUGAUUGGAAAAUCAGAAUGUAGGAAUAUUAAUUAAGUAUAGGACCAAGAAUCCAACAAGUUCUAUUUGUAUUUUACUAUUCCAAAGUAGAUUGGGCAGCUGGCCAGGGGUGGUUUGGAGUCUAGCAACAUUUUUAAAGGGUAAAUUUUUUAAUGUGCAUUUUUAUUAGAUAAAAUAUACAUAAUUUUUGAAUAUUUAAUUAGAUAAAAUAAUUACUUUUUUAUUUUUUUUUAAAUGGUUUCCUAUUGUAUCCUCUAAUAGAUUUUUAAAAAAUACCACUUGUAAGCAAAUGGCCAAUGAACAAUAUGAUGAAGGGCUGCAAAUUAAGCUUUCAAAUUGGCUAUCAGUAUUCCAUCUUAUUGCUUCGUUCACAUACAUUGGGAGCCCAAACCUGUUUGAAGCCUUUAUCAAUCCCAUGACUAUCGACAUAAGAUAAGGAAAGUAAUUAAAUUUGAAUAUAUUCAAAAAAAUAAAAAAGUUGAAAAUCAUUUUUAAAAAUAUCUAAUUGUAUAGAAAAUAAGAAAACUUAGUUAUUACCUUAAAUUUUUCUUGACAAGUAAUUCAUUGAUUAUGAUUACAAGGGAAACCCCGUUACAGCCAGCCGUUAAUAGCCAGGUCAACUAGCUAGAAACCACAUGCUCCAAGCAAUUAAGGCAUUACAAGGGACUACACAACCCCAUCAUAGAAACAAAUUCUAAAAUGGAAAACCUCUCCUCAAAGCCAUACUCCUUCUCUAUGGAGCUAAAAGAAUCAACUCACUCUGUUGGGAACCUGAAAUCAUCACAAUUGAACUUGCCCAGCACAAUAGCAGCAAUCCAGCUAAGACCACGCAAUAACAAAUAUCUUUAGACAAGCUUAACAAUUUCUCCGUCAUAACCCAUCUUUAGCCAACUUGCACUUCUCAAAGUAUGAAUGAUCUUUCAAUUAAUUAUCUUCCUUUUAAAAAAUUCAAUUUUGAGUAAUCACUUUCUAUACUUCCAUGGUGCACUAUUCGGAUCACUAACACACUUAACAGUGUUAAUAGAAUCACUCUCAAUUAGUAAGGACUGAGUAGACUGCCAUCCAGAUGAUACAAAAAUUUUUAAGGCUUCUAGUACUGCACUCAGUUCCUUGAAUUUUGGGUCAUGCACCCCUAUAGAUUUUGAGAACAUAAUUUUAACUUCAGCCAAUUCAGUCCUUGGAACUCCACCAAUACUCACCUCCCCUUGGAUUUCCCCUAACAGCCCUGUCAAUAUUAAACUUCAACCACUUAUUACCUUUAUUUAAUUCAUCAUUUGCGAUGUAAAAUAGGGAUGAAAACUGAAAAACAUUUUCUACAACUCUAAGAGCAGUAAAGUAUGUAAAGUGACAAGAAAAACUGAAACAGCAGAUUAGGCUUUGCUUUCUAGCAACAAAAGUGGUGGGAACAUGAUUAUUCUGAUAUACCAAGAAAAAGUUGACAUCACAAAUGGAAUUUUGGACAGUAUUGAGUGAUGAAUACUUAAAGAUAUUGUACUAGUACAAAAAUGUGAGGUUAAUCUGCAACAGAUUCCAAUAGGUUCACCUGACUUGUCUUGGUCAGCAAGAAGUUAUGAAACUGGGAUUUUAUCUUCUUCACUUUUGAAUUUGAGCUUCCAAUGCAUUACUACUAAAGUAUUUGUUUGAAAAUUGCCCAAGAAAUAAUAAAAAUAAAAUUAAGAGACAUCAAAAAAUAAAAAAACAUAAAAAUUUACUUGGCUCGGCGUCUUAUCUACAUCUAUGGAGUGAAACAAUUCUACUACUAUUAAAAAAUACACUACAAUAAAAUUGACUUAUAUGUUAUUUAAAACAGUUUCAAACCAUUGUUUGGAGUAAUCCAAACUGAGUAUUAAUCGUCAAAAGUAUUUCUUCAGCAUCAGAGGAAGCUCAUAGAGGAUAACAUGGAUCAACCUGUAUUUCCAUAAGGAACCUGCAUGUUAAUGGUCAAGGACUUCCAUUUUAGUCAAGUACAAAAUAUGUAAAAGAUUGGAAAUACUACCUGAUCUCUAAACUGAAUUAGCAUGCUUAAGUCAAUAUAUCAGUAUUUGUUAACUUGGCUAACAGUGGAUCAUAAUUUUAGCAAGUUCAAAAGAAAACCUUGCUAUUUCCAAGUCAUCUAAAAGUUUACAGCGGAACAGAGUUAUUUACAACUUUAAACUUAUGGUACGGACUGACCAAAAUGGAAAAGAAAAACUAAAGCAUGUAAGAUGAUUUAGUGAAAAAGGGGAAACAAACAUAUCGUAUCUCUGGUGAGAAACAAUAUCUGCGCCGCACUACACUUCUCCCUAUCAAACUUACGCAUUAAGCCAAUUACAGUUACACUUUUUUCCCUAUAGAUAUGCAGUGUUAAGAAAUAAAACAGUCCUUCUCAAGCUUAAGUUUUGCAAUUAUUUUUCCAGUUUGGUCAUCUCAAAAUGAAGGCCCUGAUUACUGUCAUUUUCAUGAAAAAACAUAAAACAAAUCGACGGGAGAGACAGGAAUUACUCAGACUUCCAGAUGUACAACGUGAUACUUUUUCACUGAUGGUUUACACUCGAAUCAUGCCUGCAAAAUAAAUCAUAAGAAUAUCUUACAAGUUUUAACAAGAAAGUGAGAUGAAGAAAACUAUUGUUUUGGAAUUUUAAACAUGAAAGUGAAAAGUGUUUCCAAGUUGAUAUACCUUAGUUUUGGUAUGAACAAAGGAUGUAAACUUCUGAUCCCUUUCUCUUUCCAUGUUCGAAUUGUUGUAAAUUGACCUCCUUGUUGGACUGCCACUUUAUAAACCUAUCGAGAGAAAUAAAUAUAUGCAAGCCCUCAUUUCAGGUUCUAUACAGAUCAAGAAAAUGAACUUUUUUAAUACAGAAACCCCUACAACUGUUUUAAUACAGAAAGUUUGGAUUUGGUCUUAUUUAAUUUCUUACUUAGCAACAUCUAAAGGAAAUUGGAAACGUUUUAAAUUGUUUUAGGAUGGUGGCACUGGAAGGAGGAAAGAAAAACAGAACCAAAAAGUAUAUCCCUUCAAUCUGCAACAUAUAAAGAAAAUGGUGGGGCUUUACUUGGGUGAUUCCAAAUUCAGUUGAAUCCUUUAUUAGAUCUUUGGAAGAUUGUUUUUAUGGGAGUGCAUUGUCUUAUUAAAGAAAGUGCUGGUCUUUUAUUGUUUGAAUUCCUCCUAUGAAGGAGAAUUAAGUUUACUGUAGAUGAACCGGCUUGAAGAAAAUCAGGACUUGCUGAUUGUGGAGGAGUCCUUGGAGAUGAUAAGGGUUCGAUAAUGUGCUGUUUUUUGGUCCUCUUGAAAUUCAAGAGUCCAAUUAUGCACAAUUGAUGGUCAUCAAGCGCGCACUAAAGCUUUUUGCAUCUUCACCUUGGGCGAGUUCUAUGCAAGAGAUUGAUUAUAGAAUCUAAUUGUAAGGCAAAACUUGCAUGGGUUUGUAACAAGCAGACAUGGAACCAUCGGCAUAUUUUUAAAGAGAUUGAUAGUUUGAAGAGAAAGAUGGAAGAUAUUGUGUUUGUGGAUACACUCAUGAAGCUAUUACAUUUGUUGAUUCGCUUGCAAAAUUUGGAGUUGAAAGAGUUAAGAGCUGAUAUGUUUUUCGCUUGGUGCUAAGCCAUGUUGCUUCUGUUCUGAGUUGGAACUGCUUUUCUUCCAUCAUUCACAGUUUGGACAACAUUGGCUAGGAAUUAAUAUGAUGUAGCUGUUUCAUUUGUGGAUUCUGUUAUUAUAACGUUUAUGCUCCUGCAUGGUGUUAUGGGGGCUGUUGGUUGUUGCUGAUUUUUCAUUGUAUUGCUAUAUUCUGUAAGGGGUGAUCGGGGUGAUAGGUUGGUGGUUCUGUUUCCAUUCAAGGUGAUAGGGCGCUUUGCUCCCUUAACUGUUACUGUUUAAGAGUGCUUCUUGCUGCCUUUGUACUGAUCUUUUAAUUUUGAUCAGCUUUCCUAUACCUUUAAUACUUAAUAAAACCACCUAUGAAUGAGCAAUAUAUAUAUAUAUAUACAAAGAAAAGCCCUAUGUGAACAUUAUUCAAGGAAAGUAUUGCCCAUUGGAGGGCAAUACAAAACUUUCCUAUCAGUAGUUGGAUGUUAAAGCAGAGCCUUUUACUUAGAGCAAUGUGUAAUGAAAGGAUAUGUUAUGCAUCAAUAAAAGAACUGAGCUGGAAAGAAUGAAAGCUUCUGACAUAAUUGCAGAAUAGAACUGAAUGCAAAAAUGUUUAAGCAUUGUGAUUCAUACUUCAUCACCAAGAAAAACUGAAUUCUGGCCAUUUAUCCUGAUAUGCAACUUGGAAAGUACUCUAGAUUACAUCAAGCGUUUGAGUAGAAACCUCCUUUACUUCAUACAGAACAUAAUAUGAGAGAUAGAAGAAGGAUUCUACAAAUUUUAGAAUAAAAAAAGUGUAUGAAAUUCAUCAUACUACAAAUGGGAAAUACCCAUUGGUAGCUUCUUAACUUGAAAUAUUACAGAAACACUCAGACACUGCUACGAUGACAAUGUGAAUUUGGUUUAUACAGAAGGUCCUAGGUUACCUGAUUUUACAUGCUAUCUUGCACCAUUGAUGCGAAGGAGGAAAGAUUUCCCUUUUUGGGAAGGAACUGCUGCCUGAACAACUUGGAAACCACCAUUGAAUUUUGAGGGCUUCGGAAUAUAAAGUUUACUUCACCCUGUCAGACAAGUUCCACAACAUCAGGUUUUCAUUUUGCAACAAGAUUUCCGGGCAAUAACUAAAACUUUUAGCUUUCUGUGUAUAGGAACAUUACCAUUUUCAUAGGAAGCUAUGUUCCCUUUGGGGAAUUGUUGUUCCCCUGACACUAUCACUGCUGUUACUGCCAAUACAUCUUUAUUUUCUCAUCAUUUACCAGAAAUUGAGUACUCAUUGGAAUUGAGGUAGAGAUUUUGGUAUUUGCUCAUUCAGCUCGGCAUAUGGUUAAUGUGCUGGGUUAUAACAAGCAUUGAGAAUGGCAGCAACCAAGGGAAUGCCCACUUGGAUAAGUAAUAACAUUCCCAUUUCAGCGUCUUUCCAGACCAGUUUGUUUGCUCCUACUCCUGGCACAAGCCUCUGCAACUUCCAAUUGAAGCCAAAAUUAGUUAUCAUAUAAAUCUUCAGGCAUAGAACAAUAUACCAGUCAUUUAAUAUAAUUGAAACCAUUCUUGAAAUGAUUCUGCAAGAAAUUCUAAUGAGAAGUCACUGAAACCAAUAUGAUUUAUAGACACAAACAUUUGAAAAGAAUUAACAUAUCUGUUCUGUUCAGGCAUAAGCCUCUGCAACUUAGAAUUAACAUCAAAUUAAAAUCAAAGUUAUAAAUCUCCGGUGCAUACAAGAGGUACCAAGUAUUAAUACCUGAAACCUUUCUUGAGAUGGUACUGAAGGAAAUGUUUAACCAGCAGUCUGAAAGAAAUAUGUCUCGUAGAUGAUAAUAUCCCAAACAUCUGUUCAUUACCAUGAUGAAAUUAAUAAAUAAAAUUCUGCAGCUUUUUGUAAACAAUCCAAUGCAAUAGUUACAACUAAAGUUUAUUUCCCUUUACUCAGACCUCUGGUGAAUGACCAAAAAUACAUAUGAAGAACAAACAAAUACAUAGGCAUUCAAAAAAAAAAAAAACCCAUAGAAAUCAACUACAAAAACCUCUCAUUCUGAUUUAGUCUUGAUUUUUCUUUUACAAUGAUGGCAGGCAUUGAAUCUAUAUAUCGUACCCGGAAAGAACCAUCUGUAAGUCCUACUAACUUGAAAUUAAACCAUAUCGCUCCAUGAUUGAAGACAAAACUUCUUUCUCAAUUCUGCAAAAAUAUUUACUCCUUCCAAAGAAAAUGAGCUUUGGAGAAAUACCUGUCCAAAAUUUAGUAAGCAAGAGCUUAUUUGUAGUUAUACCUAAAAUUGAAACUUUGGUUUUGCUUACUUCAUUUUAGAUUAAAUAUAAAAUGAGAAACAUUUGACUAGCUCAUCUGAUCUAAGCACUUAAAGCAAAUUCAAACUAGUGGAAUCUUACAUGGCUUUCUCCCUCCUUUUGAAUACCUCUAUUCCUUCUCUGCCAUUGGUCUUGUGAUUCAUCAACAUAGGCUAAGGCAAACAUUCAACCAAAAGAUAUGGUUCUGAACAACUUCGAGCCACCAUUGAAUAUUUGAGGGCUUUGGAAUAUAAAGUUUACUUCACCCUGUGAGACAAGUUCCACAACAUCAGGUUUUCAUUUGGCAACAAGAUUUCCUGGCAAUAACUAAAACUUUUAGCUAUCUGUGUAUAGGAACAUUACUGUUUUCAAGUUAUGUUUCCCUUUGGGGAAUUGUUGUUCCCUUGACACUGUCAUGUGCUAUUGUUGCCAAUACGUACUUUAAUUUCUCAUCAGUUAUCAGAAAUUGAGUACUCAUUGGGAUUGAGGCUGAGAUUGGUGUUUGCUCAUUCAGCCUGGCACAUGGUCAAUGUGCCAGGCUAUAACAAGCAUGGAGAGUGGCAGCCUCAAAGGCAAUGUCCACUUGGAUAAGUAAUAACAUUCCCCAUUUCAGCAUCUUUCCAGACCAGUUUGUUUGCUCCUAUUGCUGGCACAAGCCUCUUCAACUUCCAAUUGAAACCAAAAUUAGAUAUCAUUGUCUUACCGUCAACAUUGUCUCACAAAUCAUGCAACCUCCUGAAGUGCCUGCAAACAGCAACAUAUCACUUUUCACCUUUCCAAUCUCAGUAUGAAGGUCCUGAUUAAUGUCAUUUUCAUGCAAAAACAUAAAACAAAUCAAUAGGAGAGACAAGAACUACUCAAACUUCCAGAUGGACAAUAGAACAUUAAAAGACUCUUCAAAUUAUUGAAUACAAAAAUGCUUAAGCAUUGUGAUUCACACUUCUACAUCAGCAAAAACUGAAUUCUAGCCAUUUUACCCUGAUAUGCAACUUGAAUAGUACUUUAGAUUAAAUCGACCAGUUGACAGAGUAGAAACCUCCUUCACUUUGAAAACAUAAUAUGAGAAGGAAGAAAGGAUUCUACAAAUUUUAGUAGAAACAGAUAAGAGUACAUGAAAUGCAGCAACUAAAAAUAGGAAAUACACAUUGGUAGCUUCUUAACUUGAAAUAUUACAAAAAUCUUACAAUGAGAAUAUCAAUUUGGUUUGUACAGAAGGUCCCAGGUUACCUGAUUUUACAUGCUUGAGGCACUCAGUAGCUAUCUUAUCAUUUAUGCUUGCACCACUGACGCAAAGGAGGACAGAUUCCCCUUUUAGGGAAGGAACUGCUAUCUGAACAAACUGCCAUUGAAUUUUUAAGGGCUCCAGAAUAUAAAGUCUACUUCAUCCUGUCAAACAAAUUCCACAACAUCAGGUUUUCAUUUUGCAACAUGAUUUCCUGGCAAUAACUAAAACUUUUAGCUUUCUGUGUAUAGGAACAUUACCAUUUUCAAACUAUGUUUCCCUUUGGGAAAUUGUUGUUCCCUUGAGACAGUCACUGCUAUUGUUGCCAAUACAUACUUUAAUUUCUCAUCAUUUAUCAAAAAUUGAGUACUCAUUGGGAUUGAGGCAGAGAUUUUGGUGUUUGCUCAUUCAGCCCAGCAUAUGCUCAAUAUGCUGAGUUAUAACAAGCAUUGAGAGUGGCAGCAACGAAGGCAAUGCCCGGAUAAGCAAUGACAUUCCCAUUUUAGUGUCUUUCCAGACCAGUUUGUUUGCUUCUAUUGCUGGCACAAGCUUCUGCAACUUCCAACUGUAACCAAAAUUACAUAUCAUGUUAAUCUUCAGGCAUAUAACAAUAUACCAAUCAUUUACUGUACUUGAAACUAAUCUUGAAAUGAUUCUGCAAGAAAUUUUAAUAAGAAGUCAUUGAAACCAAUAUGAUUUGUAGACAUAAAAUUCUAAAAGAAUUAACAGAUCUGUACUGUUCAAGCAUAAGCCGCCGCAAUUUAAAAUUAACAUCCAAUUAAAAUCAAAGUUAUAUAUCUUGGUUCGUACAGAAGUGACCAAGUAUUAAUACUUGAAACCUUUCUUGAAAUAGUCCUGCAGGGAAUGUUUUACCAGCAGUCUGAAAUAAAUAUGUUUCAUAGACGAUAGUAAUGCCAAACAUCUGUUCAUUACCAUGAUGAAAUUAAUAAACAAAAUUCUCCAGCUUUUAGUGAACAUUCCAAUACAAUAGUUACAACUAAAGUUUAUUUCCCUUUACUUAAACUUCCGGUGAAUGACCAAAAAUACAUAUGAAGAACAAAUGAAUAUAUAAGCAUUUAGAAAAACAAAUUAAACCAUUGAAAUCAGCUACAAUAACUUCUCAUCUUGAUUUUUCUUUUAAAAUGAUGGCAGACAUUGAAUCUAUAUAUAUCGAACCUGGAGAGAAUUAUCUGAAAGUUCCAAUAACUUGAAAUUAAACCAUUUUUCUCCAUGAUGGAAGAAAGAAGUUUCUCAAUUCUGCAAAAACAUAUACUCUUUUCUAAGAAUAUGAGCUUUGGAAAUGCUUGUCCAAAAUUUAGCAAGCAAGAGUCUAUUAAUAAUUAUGCUUAAAUUGAAUCCUUGGUUUUGUUCACUUCAAUUUAGAUGAAACAAAAAAUGAGAAACGUUUAACUAGCUCAUCUGAUCUAAGCAUUUAAAGCAAAUCUGAAUAUUUCUAUUCCUUCUCUGCCAUUGGUCUCGUGAUUCCUCAACAUUGGCUAAGCCAAACAUUCAACAAAAAAGUAUGGCAGAGAAACUGAAAUAUGCAAAAUAAUAGUGGGAAAAAGGUUGAAAACUUGGGUUUUGGUUAUUCUUCAUAUAAAUCUCAAUGCUGAGAUAGUAGAGAUCUCAGUGUGUGUAUAGAUUUCACCUUUUGUCCAUCAUCUCAUGGUUGUACAUAUCUACCAUUGUGAACAUAAAAUUUCAAAUUGAUUAUCCUGAAUGUAAUUAGAUAUUUCCAAAUUGACAUACUUUGGUCUAAUCAUAAUCAACAUUCUCUUCCUAAGAGAUGAAGCCUCUUCCUAUUUUCUCCUUUAAAUCACACUAGAGAAUAUGCAAUCUCCUCAAAUGGCGGCGAUUUUGGACCAUUCUCAUCUUUAUACUUUUUGAACUGUUGAGUUUGUCAAAUAAUCAAGGACAAUAUUAGCAUUCAUUCAGGAUGAUGGCAUAAUUAUUGGACAAACAAAUAGUACUAUUAAGGAGGUAUCAAGGACAAAAUAAUUAACAGAAAAUUCGAUAGAUAAACCCUGUUUUUCUACAGCGAAGAAGCACAAAGAGAAGUUAAAUACCUGGAGGCAUAUUUUUCCCGCCAACGUACUACAUUCAAAUUAAAGUUUUCAUUUUCAGAGUUGGGAUGCUUUGGGCGAAGAAGUAGUUCCCCUGAUCUGCAAAUUAAUCAAUGUAGCUUCUGGGUGACACUGUUUAGAUCAUGUACGGUAGUGCCAGAAGUUGAGGAUACACUAGGAUAGCAAAUGUUUCAACUAUUGUCAAGGAAGCUCCUAUAUUAGCUCAAUGCAAUUUGCUAGUCAAUUUGUCAAGACAUUGUCUCUCCAGAUAGCUGCAAUACAACUUCUUUUCUGUUCUUCUAAACCUAUUUGAUUCAAGAUUUUUGUCAAUCCUAUCAAGAAAGUAAGAAACACAAAUGAAUAGAUGAACAAUAAGGUGAAAAAUACAACUAAGAGCUAGCUUAACUUAAGAAUACAAACUAGUCUAAGAGAAUAAGUCCUUACAUAGUGUCCUUAAACUAGCAAAGUAUUCAAUAAUGCCAUUACACCAGAUAAGGAUUCCUUCUCUCUUUGAAAUUUUUUGUUUUUCUUGUAAAAUUUUUUGUCUUUCUUUCAUUUUCAGCCUUUCAUUCUUUUCCAUCUUGCUAGAGCAUGCAGUGGGCUUCAAAAGGAAAGCAUACUGAAAUUCGAAAAAAAAAAGGGUGGGGGGGAGUGGAAUUAUGUAUAUACCUGAUCUAUUUGAAUUUACGUGAUGUACUGCUACCAUAAGCAUUGUCACAGAUCACACAUCCUCAAUGGCAGUCUGCCUGCAAAAUGAAGAAAAUGAGAUCAGUAUCACUAUAUUUUUCCCUUUUUCUCUAAGUUCAGCAGCUUAUUGUAGGUUGGGUGCUCGACCUCAAUUCCAGAACAAAGCUCAAAACUUGGUUCAAGUUUUAUCAACUUUCAUUUAUGUAAACUCAAACUUGACUUGAAAAAGUAAUUAAGCUACUCAAACUCAAUUCUCUUUAAUUAGAUUUGUAAACGGUAUUGAACUAACGAACCUACAGUAAUCAUGAAAAUAGAGCACUUGAACACUUGACUUAAUGUAUGUUCUACAAAUAGAAAGAAGAUUUAUGAAAAUUAAUAUAAAAUUUCAAGUGACAUAAAGAUACCUGAUUUCUGGGCGAACCUCCGUUUACGAACACAAACCAUUUCAAAUUUGAUUUUUCUCACCAUAUGUCAAUGUGAGGUACGUGGGCAACAUUGGGCCACUCAUCCUCCUCGCAUCGUUGUUUUAGCAAUGGAGAAUCAUAAAUUUGUAGUGUCAAAAGUGAGGGAAGCAUUUCCUUACUCGGAAGGAAUUUGAGCUUGGGGCAAUGUGCGAUGCGCAAUGAUUCGAGAGAGGUGAGAUUUUGAAAGCCCUUGGAGGACAAAAUUUCAAGGUUGGGAAAAUGUUUGAUGGAGAAAGAGGUGAGAGAGGGGGGCAGAAGCAUUUCUUCAUGAGGGAAUGACGCCACAUCUAGUGAAGCACCGUGGAUGCAGAAAUGCUUAAGAGAGGUGAGUUUGUGCAAACCCCACUCGAUUACUGACUUGCAGAAAUUGGGCUGCGAGAUUUCAAGUGAAAUGAGAUUGGUAGGGAACCCCUCUUCUGGAAAAGAUACCACACUUGGACAAUCAUAUAUCACGAAUUCUGCAAGAGAGACAAUGUUGUGCAUGUGGUUGGGUAAGGCCUCGAGCUUUUCACAUCUCAUAAGAUAGAACUCUCUGAGUUUGGGGGUUAACAAUCCACUUCCUGGGAAAGAAAUCAGAUUUGGACAACCACAAAUACAGACCUCCUCAAGAUGGUUGAGAUUGUCGAAUCCACGAGGUAAAGAUCUAAAAUUUUCACAAAAGUAGAUAUCAAUCUGUUUAAGAGAAGAGUUGUCUUCAAUUUCAGGUGCUAUGGAUUCUAGAGAUGGGCAAGCUUCGAUACGGAGGUAUUUCAGCCCCUUAGGUAACUUGCCAUUGGAUAAUAAGGAAGCUAACUUUUUUUCACAAUUAUAGAUGCUUACACGUUGAAGAUCAACAGGUAAGUCGCCCCUUGCGGAUAAAGAUAUCAAAGACUGACAAAAUCCAAUAAGCAAUUGCUCUAUGCUGAUAUUUUCUCUUUCAUCCAGCAAGUACUGCAAAUUCUCACAAUCAACAAUGGAUAAACUUAUAAACUUUAACGGUAACUCGCACCUUACGGAUAAAGAUAUGAAAGACUUACAAUGUCCAAUUUCCAAUUUCUCUAGAAAAAAUGUACCGUUGAUACUGACAUUUUCUCUUUCAUCCAGCAAGUACUGCAAAUUUUCGCAACAUCUAAUGGUUAAACUUCUUAAAUUUGCAGGCAAAUUUCCCUUUGAAAAUGAAAUCAAUCUUGGGCAUCUUUCAAUUUGUAGCACCGUAAGGGAUGUGUAGCUGUGUAGGCUUUUUGAUAGCCUCUCUAGCCUUUCACAAUCUCCUAUACCCAAAUCUUCUUGGUUCAGCCAUGAAGAAAUUAGCUCAUCACAGUUCCCUAUAGAAAGAGAUUCUGCUUUUCUCAACCCUAACAUCAUAUCCAUUGGACAAGUGAAUUUCGAAAUUUUUGACAGGGAGACACUUUUCAUGAGUGAGCCAAAAUUUGUAAAACUCGUACCCACCACCUCUUGGCAUUCUUCAAUUUUUAACUUGCACAACUUUGUAAGGCUAGAGAGUGAAACUACCAGUUGCUCACAUUCACGAACCUCAAGUUUCUUCAAUGAAGGAGGACAAGUAGCUAGACUUCUCAGUUUUUGACAUCGAAGAAUCACAAGUUCCUCCAAAGAACGAAGACGAGUAGGUAAACUUCCUAACAACUUGGGACAAUCUGAAAUGGAGAGCAAGCGGAGUUGUUGGAACACAUCUCCGUCAACUUCACAAGGAUCCCAUUCCUGCCAUUCAGGCAUGUUAUAAAAAAAUAAUUCCUCUAAUUUUGGAAAUGCAAUUGACGCAUUUUCUCCAAAAAAGUUAGAACCCACAACAGUCACCUUAUUCAUGUUCUUGAUAAAAAGGGAUUUUAGCAGUGGUACUUUUCCAAUUGCUGGUAAUGAUGUGCAAUUUGGACAAUUAUCCAACUCCAAAUGUGAUAGCUUUUCAAAUGAAGGAUCUCCUAUCCAAUUUGGGAAUGCUUUACCUCCGUAAUGUUGGAUGGUGAGCCUUUCAAGCAUUGCAUGUGGUCGGAGUGAAUUCAACACGUCCAUGUGAAAUUGAAUUUCUUCUACUGCAAAAGCGUCACGGGAGUACUUCCAUUCCAAAGUUAAAUCAGAAAGGUUUGACUUAUUACAUAACCCAGCCACCGCUGCAUCUUGAGCUUUGACAAUGUUCUCCAAUCCUGAAAUAAGAAGUCCACCCUUAAGAUUAGACAAUUUCUCCAUCUCUUGUAUCUGAAGGCCAUUAUCUCGACUCACAACAAAUCUUGUCAAUGUUUGGAGGCUGGUUAGCUCACCAAUUCCCAUCGGCAUCCUUAUUUGUGAAUUUGCACCAGUAAAAUCAAGAUGCCUUAGGUUAAUUAAAUCUCUCAUUUCUAAAGGAAACUCCUCAAGAGCUUUACACCCCCACAAAAUCAAAGUCUCUAAAUUGUAAAGUUUGCAUAUUGAAUCAGGUAGAGUUUUGAUUGGAGUGUGAGAAAAAUUGAGAUAACGCAGAUGUAUCAAAUCUCCAAAAACAUCAAGUAACUUGGUCAAGUGAUACCCUUCUAAAGAAAGCACCCUUAAGCAUUUCAAUUUUGACAACAAAUCAAAGAGAACUUGAUUAGAUAUAUAGCAAUACUCUUCAUCUGGCAUCUUCAACGGUAAGAAGGUUCUUAAAUGCUCCAUUCCAUUAACGAUUCGAAAUUUUUUAAUUCCAUCCCUCCGACCACCAAUGUAAGAUGAGUGGCGAGCAUUAUUGGAAAUGUCCAAUUCCUUGUCACCCUCCACUCUAAAGCAUAAAUCUUUGGCGAUUGAUUGAGCCAAAUCAUUAAUAAGAUCAUGCAUUACAUAUCGAGACUUAUCCUGAUUGGAUCUUUCAAAAAAUGAUCUCGAUACAAGUUCUUGAAAGAUCUCCUGACCCAAAUCUUCAUUUCUAUUCACAGCUCCCACUCGUAGAAAACCUUCUGCCAUCCAUAACCAGACUAUUUCUGUCUCAGUAAAUUCAUAAUCUUUGGGGAGUAUGGCACAGUAAGCAAAACAUCGCUUUAGAUGUCGAGGAAGAUGAUGAUAGCUUAUUCGUAAAGCUGGAAUUAUGUUACUUCUCUCUUCUGGUAAAUUCCAAAUCUCACUUUCCAGUAUCCAUUUCCAUGCAUCAAGGUCCACCUUAUUGCGCAAAAGGCCUCCAAUGGUCUUAGCUGCCAAAGGCAAGCCGUUGCACUUCUUCACAAUCUUUCGACCAAUUUCUUCUAAAUUCGGAUGCCUACUGAAAUCGUUUGCUCCUAAUGCAUGGUGAGUUAAUACAGAAAGGCAAUCUUCAUCUGACAACUUUUGCAGCUUGUGAUCAGCUGGGAUAGUUCUCGUCAUCGAUGAAACACUUUGUUCACGAGUCGUCACAAUAAUUGUAGUUCCUUUCCCAAAGGGGGCUAUUAGGAGAGUCCAAUCAUUAUAGAUUUGAUGCCAAAGGUCAUCCAAAAUGAGAAGUAGUCUUUUUCCAGACAACCUCUGCUUCAAUUUUAUUUGAAGAUUAUUCAAAUCAGCUCCAGCAUCAGGAGAUUCAUGGCCAAUUGAUGACAAAAUUGAUUUGGUUAUAUCUUUGAUAUCAAAAAUUUCAGAAACGCAUACCCAUGCUUUGAGAUCAAAAUAAUCAUUCACCUGAUUGUCAUUGUAGACAAGCUGAGCAAGAGUUGUCUUGCCAAUCCCUCCCAUGCCAACGAUGGGAAUCACACAAAUUUCAACAACAUUCCUAUUUGAAAUCAAUUCGAAGAUUGCUUCUUUGUCAUUUGCCCGGCCGUAGACUUGAGUUUCAGUCACCAAGGAAGUGGUUGGAGGCCUUUCUAUUGCUCUUUUAGGCCUCCCACCAACAUUUUCAGUCAAAGCCAAGGCACUCCUUCGUUCUGCUAACUCUUGAAAUCUAGUGGUGAUCUCUUUUAUCAUGGACAUCAUUUCGGUAUUAGAUGAGAAAUUAUGACUGAAGCAAGUAUGAAGGAACUUUUGUAACUUACUUGACCUGUAUUGAUGCUCCCUCGUCAAAUUGCGUCUCAAAGCUUUAGUAGCAAACUCAUCCAAUACAUCAUCCGCAUCGUAUGCCAAGUGUUGGAGCUCGGUCAACCAUCUCUUCACAUGCCGAUCCUUCACGUGCUUCUCCUCGGCAUUAUCUAGCACUGCUUGAAUACCGGGCAAUAUGUUUUCCCACUUGAGGAGCUCCUCGCGAACUUGCUUCUCGGUUACAACAUUGAGGAAUUCAGCUAACUUACUGAACAACGCAUCAAAGAACGCAGCUAGAGCAGCUUCUCCGAUAACAGACAUGGCUUCUGACUUUGGAAAAACAGAGAGAAAUAGUGUGUGAAAUGGAGCAGAGGUAACUCUGAACGACAAGAAAAACAGAGAAAAUGGGGAAUCUUUUACAGUGGAGCUACUAAAACGCAGCACUGCUAAAAGUCGUUAAAGGCACAACAAUUGUUAAAGGUAAUAAACGCAGAUAGAGAUGCUAUUGGGAAAAGAGACGGGUAAAGUAAUAAGCUUUCUUUUAACUUUUUAAUUUUUUAUUGAAAUUUCCAAGUAAUUGUUUAGUAAAAAGCUGGAGGAACCUUGUACCAAACUUUGAUAGAGAAAAUAGCUUUGGUUAUUAGUACAUGAUCAUCCAAGAUAUUAGCUAAGUAUAGGACAAAGAAAUUGUUUAAAUUUAAUUACUGGGCGUUUAGAAAUGAGGAAGAUAUUAAUUAGGAGUGUCAGUGUCAUGUCCUAUAACCAAAGUCACUAAUCUGACAAAAAAAUGUAGUUUUUAAGAGUCAAAAUGUGGUGUCAUUUUCAUUGUUCAUCUUCUCCUCCACUCCACAAUGUAAUUUUCAAUUACAAGUAAAAUAUGGUUAAAUUUUAGCUUUCAAAAAUAAUCAUGUUUAUUUAAAAUAAUAAUAAUAAUAAUUUAUACCCAAUAAGGAAAUCCAAAUAAUAAGUUGCGAAUUGAAAAUGUAUUAUUGUUAUAAACAAAUUAAAUUUUAACAAUUAAAUUUUAUUAUUGUAUUUUUAAUUUGAUUAAAAUAUAAUUAAAUUUUAACAAUAAAAGAAUAUUUUAUAACAUAUUUUAAUUUUUUUUAUCAUUUUUAAAUUAAAUUAGAAAGUAUUGUGAUAAAAUUACUCCCCUUGGAAGAUUAGUGAUAAAAUUAUUUGUUUUCAAUGUAGGUGAUCUUGUAUUCAUAGUUGGAUACAUCAAUUUAACUUUUCCCAUCCAUCUCUUGAUUUUUUUUGGUGGCUUACUGAGCCUUAAACCAAAUAUUUGAACUGUACAUAGUACAUGAUUUUGUUUCCUCCUUUGUCAUAAAUUUAACAAGUUUUUAAGAUUUGAGAAUGAAAUAUGAAAUUGAAAAUCUCACUUUUUAAUUAUGGAUAUGAAUUGUUGUAUGACUGGUAAUACUUUUGUAGAUUAACACCUUUAUAUUUUAAAAUAACCUAAUGAAAUGUAAUAACUAGUUUAUUUUCUAUUCUAACUAUUCAAAUAUUUAUUGUACUAACAAAAAUAAAUCUUAUUUUCUUUAUCAGAAAUUGUGUGUGAAAUGUAACUCUGAAAAGUAAAAGUAACAUUGAAAACUAAUUGUUGUAAAAAGCAAUAUUGGUGGAGAACCAGAGGUGGGGUUGGUCCUACAAAGCUAAUUCUUCACUUGCAGCUUUAACGAAAGGAGCUGCUACGGGUAAAUGGAUUGUGAAUAAGCAUUCCUUUUACUUUCUUAAAUAUGCUAUUUAAAUUUCCGAGUAAAUCUUUUUAAAUUAUUACAUUGGUUUCAUGUCUUCAUGUGUGUUAGGGGGAUUUUUCUUUCUCAGUCAAAAUAAUACAGUUUUAUUAAUAUUACUGGUAUCUCAAUAUAAUUGAGGUAAAUAAAUAAUUAGAAAAAAACAUAAACAAGUACAAAAUCAAAGACUCGUUCCAAAUACACAAAAAAAAAAUCAAAUUAGGAUUUCUUAUUCCACACUACCACCAAGUGUAGAAAUAUAUUUGAUCUAUUAACACCCAAUUUAUUUAAAAAAAUCUAAAAAAGUAUUAGUUUCUCCGAAAGUAUGUUAAAUGAGUUCACUUUUGAUUAUGAAAACAACACCAUGUAUUUGGAAAACAAAAGGAAAUUAUGGGAGGAAAGGUAGAAGCAAUCUAUUUUAUCAUUUCUUACUUCUUUAAGUUAUGCUUGUAAGAGAUGCCAAGAAUUUGAAAAGCUAUUUCACACGUUUGAAACCAUUUUUAUUCCCUAUUGAUAAAUGCAUCUUUCUUUUGGGUAAUUGAUAAUUGCAUCUUUCAUGCUAUAAAUUAAAUCUAAUAUUUUGAAGUGCAUGGUUUAUUUGCUGUGAUUGAAAUAUGGGAAGUUUAUUAGGUAUUGAGUGAAAGUUUCCAAGUAGCUUCUUUGUGUCUCUUUAUUUUCUAAGUCCAUGCUAAAGAAUGGUCUUCUCUCUCCCCCUCCAAAAGCAAAAGCCUCUUUUCCUUGGAAAUGACCUUUUCUACCAUUCCAAGAUGAUGGAGUUAGGUAUGAAAACCUACUCAUAAAUACUUUGUAUAAUACCUGAUUAAAAAUGAAAAAGAAAAAGAAAUUUGCCUUCUAUUCUGCCAUCCAUAUUAUACUUCGUAUAAUUAAAAUUUUUUUAAGUAUUAUGCCAUCCAAGAUUUUAAUUAAAUAUAGGAUAAAGAAAUUAUUUAAAUUUGAUUAUUGGAUGCUUAUAAAUUAAGGAAGUUAAUUAAUUAGGAGUGUCGGUGGAAUGCCUGUAACCAAAAUCACGAGUGAAACACUAUAGAAUUUAUGAGUUGAAAAGUAAAGAAUAGUCGACAAAGUAUGGUCUCAUUUUUAUUUGGGAAGAACUCUCAUUCUCACUUAAGCUUUUCUGUUCAUUUCUUUUCUUUUCGUAGUUUCCUUACCUUUGCUGCGUCGGUGGGAUGUCCUUUCAAAAGUCACAAGUCUCACAAGAAAGUAUAGUCUUUUCAUUUGUUUAUCUUGUCCUCCACUUCAUGACGAAAUUUUCAAUGAUCACUUCUUUUUUUUUUUUUGAUAAAAGGUGAAUUUCAUUCAUUAAUAAUCAUCAAGACCAUUUCAAUGAUUAUUUAAAAAUGAUUAAAUUCUAUUUUUUAACAACAAUAAAUUUUAUUUAAAUACCAAUAAUUAGUUAUACAAAAAAAUAGCAAUAAUAAGAGUGGUGGUAUUACGUUAUUGAAAAUGUAUUAUUGUUGUAAAUAAAUUAAAUUUUUUAUCUAAUGUGCAAUUUAAUCAUUUUUUUAACAUUCGUGUUCAAAAUUUUGAGAUGGAGUGUUCAUUUUAUAUAUUAAUUUUGGACUCAAGAUAAAUUUAAUAAAACGGUAAAUUUAAUCCAUUCAAAAAUGAGUGAUAAAUUUAAUCUAUCACCUUAAAUCGAACCGUAAAUUUGAACCUUAUCCUUUUUAAUAAAGCGGUUACUUUUCUUUAAUACACAUCACUUGUAUUCAAAGUUUGAUACAUUAGUUUAGAUUCACCAACAACAAGUUGAUUUAGUUAUUGGAAACGGAUCAAAAAAUUAUUUGUUUCAAUGUAGGUGAUCUUGUAUUCAAAGUUUGAUACAUCACUUUAACUUUUACCAACUAUAGGUCCACAAAAUAAAAAAAUCGUCUCUCUCGAUAUAAGUCAUUUUUAAUUUGAGUCUUGUUAGUAAUUUAUCCUAGUGCUAUCUAAUGAAAAAAAGUAGUUUCCAGCAUCUUAUCUAAAAGUUGAAGCAACUUAUUUGCUUCAAAAUUUUCACAUGGAAAGAUAUUUUGUUUACCUGAAACAUGCCCAUAGAUUCUAGUAAAAUAUAAUACAUUGUAAUACAUUAUGGAAAUGUCUCGUUGUACGACGGGUAAUACAUUUGCAGUAGGGUAAAACUUUCUCUCUUUUAUAUUAUUUGAGUAUUAUAUUUUUUAUUUUCUAUUCUAAUCAUUCAGAUAUAUGUUGUACUAACAAAAAAUAGAUUUUUUUUAUUAGAAAUUGAGUGUGAAAUGGGGCAGAGCUAAUAUGAAAGCGUUGAAGAAGAAGUAAAAAUCAGAGAAAUUCAGGAAUCUUUUACGAUGGAUCCACACGGCUUUUGAAGUUAGAAGGCAGGGUAGAAUUUAUGAAUGAAUUUGAUUCCCACAAAGCACCUUUUCUUGGUGAUUUCUAUAUUGGAAAAGUUGAAACAAGGAAACUGUAUUAAUAUCCAAUUUCCUAUUGAUAAAUGCAUCUUUCAUGCCAUAAAUUAAAGUUGAAGUGCACGUUUGGCCAAAUUAUGAACUAACUACUUCAUUGAUUAGGUACUAAAUGAACGUUUCCAAGAAGCUUCUUUGUCUCUAAAGAAUGGUCUUCUCUCUCUCUCUAAGCAAUUUAAAGUAAAAAAUCUCUUUUCUUUGGACAUGACCUUUUAUAACAUUCUGAAAAAAUAAAAUGACUCAAAAAGAAGAAAUCAGAAAAUCUUAAUGAAAAAUAGAAUCAGGGAAACCUAUUAUGUUUAGUAGGUAUUAAAUGAAAGUUUCCAAGUAGCUUCACUAUCUCUCCUCAUUUUCCAAGUCAAUGCUAAAGAAUGGUUUUUUUUUUCUCUCUCUCUCUCUCACAAAGCAAUUUAAAGCUCUUUUCCUUGGAAAUGACCUUUUGUAACAUUCCUAGCAAAAACCUACUCAUAAAUACUUUGAAUACUACCAGAUUGAAAAAAAAAUCAUAAUAUUUGAAAAUAUUUUUAAAUUAUUUAAAAAUAUUAAAAUAAUAUUAUUUUAUAUUANNNNNNNNNNNNNNNNNNNNNNNNNNNNNNNNNNNNNNNNNNNNNNNNNNNNNNNNNNNNNNNNNNNNNNNNNNNNNNNNNNNNNNNNNNNNNNNNNNNNNNNNNNNNNNNNNNNNNNNNNNNNNNNNNNNNNNNNNNNNNNNNNNNNNNNNNNNNNNNNNNNNNNNNNNNNNNNNNNNNNNNNNNNNNNNNNNNNNNNNNNNNNNNNNNNNNNNNNNNCAUUAAUAUAAUAUAAUAUAAAAUAAUAAGUGAUAUUUUAAUUAAUAAUAAUUUAUCAAUUAUUAAUUGUAAAGAUUUAUUUGAUUUAAAAUAAAAGUAUAAAUUUUUUUAAUAAUUUAAAUUUUUUUAAAAUAUUACAACAUCCAAAAUAUUAAUUAAGUAUUAGACAAAGAAAUUGUUUAAAUUGAAGAAGAUAUUGGUCAAACCCUGUUCUAUAAAAUAAUUAUGACAUCAUUUACAUGCUCAAUAGAAUGUUUGUAUAUUUAGGAAGUUCGAGAAAAUCGUUAAAAGACGAUAUUGCCCCUAAUGGUACCAUUAAGUCGAUUAAGCUUCGAACUAGUUCAAAUAGGAAUUUUAAGGUGAAAUUAAGAGUUUCACAGUUCAGGGAUGACUCAAAAUGGUAAUUCGGAGUUCGAGGAUCAAUUUGGAGUCAAAUCGAAAUUUUCACUAUCUAGGGGUAAAAUGGUCAUUUGCCACCUGGAGACAAAAUGAAAAUUUUUAGAAAAGAUUUUUUUGGCCCCAUUUGACUUAUUGGAGUAUGAUUUGAGGUUUAGAAGUGAAAAAUUUUAAUUCUGAAUGUUUUUGGAGUAUAAGGGCAAAAACGGUAAUUUUAUCGCCCCGGGAGCAAAUCGGUAAAUUUUCACCCCCGACACUUGUCAAGACCAAGGGAUUUUAUUCAUCAUGGAAAUGGAUAAACAUGAGAAAUGUGUGGUGGAUAAUUAAAGAAUUAAAAGUCAAAUAUUUAAAAUUUGAAUCAAUAAGAAAAUGCCAUGUGUCAUGCUUUUAUUAUUUUAUUGUUUCUUUAUAAAAAGGCAUAAAAAUCAGCCCAUUUCUCCCAUAAUGGCCGGCCAAACCAGAAGAGAAGAGAAACCAAGGAAGAACAAACCAUAGGUGGGGAAAAUCAAAGAGAAAGUGUUGGAAUUCAAUGAUUUGAUCAAACAAAGGUAAAAUUUCUUUGAUUUUGCUAGUGAUUUUCCUUACCCAUGCAUUUCUCCUUAGUUUCCAUGGUUGGAUUGUAUGUUUUCAUGGGGAAAUCAUGGCUGGCCGAAUGAGUUUGGUGAGAGAAAUGAUGUUGGAAGUGUUUGAUUUUGAGUUAUGUUGGUGUUUAGAGUUAGUUAAGCAUGUUUAGAAACAAAACAAUAAGAAAAGAAUCCAUUUUCCCCAUGAACCUUCAAUGGCCGAACCCUAUGUGAAGUGUAGAAGUAAUGAAUUGAUUUUGUGAUCAAGUGAAUUGGUUGAAAAAUUGAUGAAAUGAUGAUUUAUGGUGAGAAAAUGGAAUGGAAAAAUUUUUAGUGAUAGUGCACCAUAAUUGCCGAAAUUUUCAAGAAGAAUUGUGAGGGUUGUUAGGUUGAAUUUUAGAUUAUUGGAAUUGUAUUUAGUGAAUUGAAAUAUUAGAAAUGAAUUGGAGCAAUUUGGAGCCAAAUCGGACACAAUUGUCUUUUAAUCAAGUAAUUGAUCGAAUUAAGUCAGCACCGCAUUUAAGCGGUAGUCGGAUAAGUUGCAUAUCAUAUCAUGCAUAUACACCGAGCCUGAAUUGAUUUUAUAAUGGUCAAGCAUUCAUGUGGUGAAUUAUAUACUAUACAUUGUGGAUAGGUGGUGAGCAAAUUACACUGGUCAAAAUACAGAGAUUGUGCUUGAAGACUGGGAUUAGGAGUACAUCGACUCCUAGAUCUGUGAGUAAACUUACUAUUGUCUUAAUUAUUUAGAGUAGUUUUUAAACCCAUUUUAUGGUAAAAUGGGUUUAAAUGGUAAAUUGUUAUGCUUUUUGAAUAAAUGUGAUUUUAUAAAUUUUUAGAAAUUAAAUGAUGAUUUUGGAAAAAUAGAGUAAUUGGAGAUUGUUUAUAAAUUGUGUUUAAAUUGAAUGGCUUAUGACAAUAUAUAAGCAUGAAUGGCUAAAUUGAUUUUUGGUGUUAGAAUUAUUUGUACUGUGUAUUCAGCUUUGAGAGACUAGGUUACGAUAAAUUACCACGUCAUGUAGAAAAAGAUUUUAUAAAUCAUGUGGUAGAUAAAAUAAUCCAUAAUCUCUACAGUGGAGGUUCUGUGGACCAGCCUAAGAGAAGGGGUACAGAAUCAAAGAUACCUUACCUCGAUUGGAGAGCCGUGUGAAGGGUGUCUCUGGAGGUAAAGAUUUGAGUGCACUUCACGUGGACCACCGCGUGAGAGUGAGACUCAACCAACGCCAAGGCAUGGCUAGAUUUUCAAAUGUAAAAAUAUGUUCAUGUGUGUACUACACUGAACAGCCUUGGCGGUCUCGGUUAGAUGCCUAGGCCAAGGCAUCCCCAGGAAUGAUUUUGGUAGGAGCCAAGUUUUGUGAAAUACAUAAGCCAAGUUGAUUAUUUGAGUAAAUUGAUUAUUGAUGUUAUGAAAAACAUACUGGAAUGGAAUAUCUUACUUGUCUCCAUUUACUAGACUUUAGAUGGUUUAGAUGGUAUCUGUUUACUAACUGAGAUUUUAUAAUUUCACCACCCUCAAUUCCCCACAUUUUAGGCUCAGGAUAGUCGGUAGAUAGCCAAUUGCAUCAAGGACUUCAGUUAGCCUUGCAUCGACAAAAUUUUAGGUUCACAGACUUGCACCUUAUUGGUUAGUUGGGGGCCCACGUGUCACUGUAAAAGUAAUUUUAUAUCUCAGUUAUCUGCUUUAAAGUAUGUAUGAAUAUAUUUAGCUUUUACACCACAGAAAUUAUUUACGGAUUUCUCUAUAAAUAGUAUUUUUUUAAGAAAAUAAAAUAUUUUAUUGAAUAUCAUUAUUUUAUUCAAAUAAUUAUAAUUUCAUUUCAAAUAAUUAUUUUAGACAUCUAAAUUUACUUUUAAUUAUGAAACAUGUGUUUUUCACCCAUACACCAUGUUUUUGGCGGGUUUUGGUAUUUUUAAAGAAAAAUAACGAAAAUGCCCUUGUGAGUCAGAAAAUAAUAUUAUAUUGUUUUGAUUUGGAAACGACUUAUGAUUUCUUGAAAUGUGAGAUUUAAUAACUGUCGCUCACCGGGGAGAUGCGGAAGCUGAUGCUAAGCUUUGCGGGGUUUCGAUCGGCAUUUCAGGUAAUAAGUGCCUAUCGGGACGUCGCGACGGCUGUCAUGGGUUUUAUGAGAGUUCCAGAUCAUGACAAUAUUAGUUACACAUGUCGGUGUAAUGUCCUGUAAUCCAAGUCACGAGUGAAACACUAUAGAAUUUAUGAGUUGAAAAGUAAAGAAUAGUUGGCAAAAUGUAGUGUCAGUUUCAUCUAGAUAAGGUUGAGAAGAACUCUCAUUCUCCCUAAACCUUCUCUGUUCAUUUCUUUUAUUUUUGUAGUUUCCUUGUCUCUGUUGUGUUGGUGGGAUGUCCUUUCAAAAGUCACGAGUCUCACAAGAAAAUGUAGUCUUUAAUCAUAAUCAUUUUCUCCUUGCAAAAAGCUACUAUUUGCCAAGUCGAAGUUCUAUAUUUUUAUUAUUGAAAAUUUAGAUAGAGAGAUCAAAUUUAUCGAUUAUUUUUUAAUGAAUGUAACUUUUAUUAUUGUACUUUUUAAUUUGCUUAAAAUAUAAAUCAAUGUUAUCGAUAAAAGAAUAGUCAAGAAGCAAAUAAAAGAGUAUUCUAUAAAAUAUUUUAAUUUUUUGUCAUUUUAAAUCAAAUUGAAAAAUAUAGUAAUAAAAUUACUCCAUUAAAAAAUAUGGAUAAAUUUAAUUCAUCAUUUUAAAUCAAACGGUAAAUUUGAACUUUAUCCUUUUUAAUAAAACGACUACUUCUCUUAAUACAUAUCACUUGUGUUCAAAGUUCGAUACAUCAAUUUAAUUUUACCAACAACAAGUUGACUUAAUUGAAAAAAAAGAAAAAAAAAUAUUUGUUUCAAUGUAGGUGAUCUUGUAUUCAAAGUUUGAUAUAUCAAUUUAACUAUUACCAACUAUAGGUCCACCAAAUUAAAAAAAAAAUGGUUCAUCUCGAAAUAAGUGAUUUUUUAUUUGAGUCUUAUUAAUGGUAUAUCCUAACGCUAUCUAAUGAAAAAAAAAGUAAUUUCCAGCAUCCUAUCUAAAAGUUGAAGCAACAUAUGCCCUCCAAAAUUUUCACAUGGAAAGAUAUUUUGUUGAUCCAAAACAGUUCUAAUAGAUUCUAGUAAAAUAUAGACUAAAUGUUCUAUUUAGGGUCAAAAUUUUUGAGUUUUUAUCAAUUAUAAAGAAUAUGUAGGGAAUGGACCUUUCCAAGUGUAUAAGCAAGAGCAGAACCAGCAACUCCAGCGCCAACUAUGACAAUGUCUGUACUCCCAGCAACCUCGCCAUUCCCUGUUUUCUUCACACAAUUUUCCAUUGGAGACACCAUGGAAGAAGAAGAAGAAGCAGCACCUGCUGCAGCUUUUGUCUUGUUGAAUCCUCUUACGAAAGCGUUGUACAAGAAAACAAACCCCAGCAGAGCGGCUACCAGCCCUUCAACUGUACACUCGUAUCCCAUAUUUUAUGAAAGUAGAAAACUGGGACAACAGUGAAUGAUCAAGAGUAGGUGAUCGCAACUUGAUGACUUCGUCCCCUUCUAUAGUUCUCCUUCCAUAAUUCCUGAAAGUUCUGCUUUCUGUUUGACGUGUGACUUCAGUACUCGUUUACUGCCAAACUUUCCGCCUCUUAAAUACAGUUUGGCAGGUGCCCACAACUUAUAUUUAAGCUCAAUAUAAAUAAAAAUCCUGUGUCCCCGUAUACUGUUUCUUUUCAUAAUUUUCUCUCACUUGUGGUUGAUAUAAACUUAGACACGUAAUACAAAAUUAUGAAAAGCAAUACUAAACGAGACAUUGCAUGAAGACGAAAAAUUUCUAUUCAUAAAAAUAUGCUUAAUUGCCAUGUGGGUCAUUUAUUACCAAUUUAUUACAGUUUAUGGAGCAUAGUUUUGUCCUUUAUCUUAGCUAUGGUUCUGGUAAAGCUACAUUUUGAACUUUAUUUCAGUUUACCUUGUUGAUAAACUAAGUUCUUUAUAAUUAAGAUCAAAAGUUUCAAUUGUAACAAUUAAUAGCCAAAUGUUUUCGGUUCUUUAUAAUUAAGGGCUAAAGUGAGAGGUAUCUAACGCGUGUAGGACACGCGCAUGAUAUGAAUGCUGAUUUGCAGGAUAAAAUACAAUAUGAUAGUUUUGUCAGAAAGUCUUUUCUGUUAAGUCAAAACCAUUCAAAUUAUGACGUGACGUGCAACAAUUAAAUUUUUCAAUAUGACAUGUAACAAUUAAAUCUUCAACAAGACGCGUAAUAACUAUAUUUUUUAACAUGAUUUGUAACAACUAAAUUUUUCAACAUAGCGUGUAACAAUUAAAUUUUUAACAUGAUGUGUAACAAUUAUAAUUUUCAACAUGGCAUAUAAUAACUAAAUUUUUAACAUGACGUGUAAUAACUAAAUCUUUAACAUGACAUAUAACAAUUACAUUUUUAAUGUAAUUUUUUAUUAUGUAUGAUACACGUUCUAUCCACCUGUCAACUUAACUCUUAAUUAUAACAAAUCGAAAACGUUUGACCCUUGAUUAUUAUAAUUGAAUUAUUUAACCCUUAAUUAAAAAAAAUUUAAACAUUUAAUCUCAAUUUAAAUAUUUAACCUAAAAAGUAAGACAUUGUAAUACAUUAUGGAUAUGUGUCAUUGUAUAAGGGGUAAUACAUUUGUAGGUUAACACUUUUAUGUCUUCUAUAUUUUUAGAUAACCUAAUAAAAUGCAAUAACUAUUUUAUUUUCUUUUUUAGCCAUCCAAAUAUUUAUUGUACUAAUAAAAAUAAAUCUUUUUUAUCAGAAAUUGUGUGUGAAAUGGUGCAAAGGUAACUCUGAAAAGUUGAAGCAAAAAACAGAACAAUUGGGGAAUCUUUUACGGUGGACCCACACGGCUUUGAAGCUGGAACGCAGGGUAGAAUUCAUGUAUCAAUUUAAUUCCCACAAAGCCCCUUUUCUUUGUGAUUUCUAUAUCUACUUUCGUCCGAAGCAUGGUUUAUUAGGAGCAAGAGAAACGAUGGACCCCACUAUUUGGCAGCUCCUAGUGUACAAUUAUUCUACUUCACUUUAUCAAGAGUUGAUGAAGGGAUUGUAAGACUAAGCUUUCAUUUUAGUUCCUAAUUAUCUAUCAAUUAUUUUAUCUAAAUUUCCAAGUCAAUGUUUAUCAACCAAUGCUCCACCAACUAAAAGUUAUGGUUUAUCUCUAUUUUUAGAUAUAUACUAUUACCCCAAAAUUUUAAAGUUUCUUAUAAUUAUCUUGAAUUGCAUUUUUAUCAAAAGUUUUUCAAAAACAAAAGGUGUUUCUUUCGAAAAAUAAUUGUUGUUUGUACAUGGUGUGGUUUAUACCAUGAGAAUUGCUAUCAUAUUUUAAUUUCAUCUUAGUAUUCAUAGACUGUAAUGAACUGUGUUUUAAGUGGUAGGCUUUAUGGGUUGCUGUCAUAUGUGUUUCAAAAACUACACAUUUGGUGUGGUUUGUACGAUGAGGAUUGCUGUCAUAUUUUAAUUUCAUGUUACAAUUUAUGGAUUGUAUGGAACUGUGUUUGUAAGUGGUAGGCUUUACAAUGGGUUUCUCCAAACUUUACUGAAAAUUUUUAAAUAUUAUGACAUUCAAGAUAUUAACUAAAUAUAGAAUGAGGAAAUUGUUUAAACUUGAUUAUAAAUUGAGGAAGAUAUUAAUUACUUGUGUCAAUGUAAUGUCCUGUAACCAAAGUCACGAGUCGAACACUAUAGAAUUUAUGAGUUGAAAAGUAAAGAAUAGUAUGAGAAAAUGGGGUGUCAUUUUCUCUCAAACUGCUUCUCUCUUAAGCUUUUCUGUUCAUUUCUUUUCUUUGUGUAGUUUCCUUGCCUUUGUUGUGUCGGUGGGAUGUCCUGUCAAAAGUCACGAGUCUUUUCAUUCUUCAUCUUCUCUACUCCACAAUGUAAUUUUCAAUGACCACUAAAACAUGGUUAAGUUUUAGUUUUUAACAACAAUAAAUUUUAUUUAAAUACCAAUAAUUAGUUGUAUUCAAAAAAGAAAUACCAAUAAUAAGAGUGGUGGUAUUGUGUUAUUGAAAAUGUAUUAUUGUUAUAAACAAAUUAAAAUUUUAUCUCAUGCUUUGUUUAAUUAUUUUUUAAUUUUUGUGUUUAAAAUUUUGAGAUGAAAUGUUCAUUUUGAAUAUUAAUAUUGGACUCGAGAUGGAUUAAUGUGAAAUCUUAAAAUUUAAGAUAAUUUAUCUAAAAAAAUUAAAUUUUUAAUCAUGACAUUUCAUUAACUAUGAAUAUAGAUAACGUUAAGAAAAUUUAAUUGUCUAUUACUCACAAAUAGUAUCAAUAAUAAAUAUAAUAAUUUUAUAAUUAUUUAUUUUUUACACAUAAUUAGAUAAAUGGAAAUUUUAGCUUUUUUCUAGAAAAGAUUUGUAUUUAAUUUCCUUUUUUUUAUAUAAGAUUGGAAACAAUAUUUGUUUUAAUAACAACAUCAGUUCCACAAUCAAAAUUUAAUUAUCCUGUUGUUAAUAUGUUUGUACAUAUCAAGUCAUAUUCUAUUAAUUUUAUGUGAAAGAAAUCAUGCUCUAUUGUUUUAUCAUUAAUUAGAAGAAAAUGAAUUAAUUCCAUUGGUAAAAGUUACUUAUUUUGAUAUGUUAUCAUCAAAAUGUUGAUAGCAAUAAAAAUUUUGCUUUAACCCCAUCAUCAAAAUCAUUUUCUCAUUGCAAAACGCUGCUAUUUGCCAAGUUAGAGAUCCGAAAAUUCUAUAUUUUUAUUAUUGGAAAUUUAGAUAGGUGGAUCAAAUUUAUUAUUUAUUUUUAAAAUGGAUGUUUUAUUACUGUACCUUUUAAUUUGAUUAAAAUAUAAUUAAAUGUUAUUGAUAAAAGAAUAUUGAAGAAGAAAAUAAAAGAGUAUUUUAUAAUAUAUUAUAAUUUUUUUGUCAUUUUAAAUCAAAUUAGAAAGUAUAGUGAUAAAUUUACCUCUAUUCAAAGAUGAAUGAUAAAUUUAAUACACCAUCUUAAAUAGAAUAGUAAGUUUGAAUCUUGUCCCUUUCAACAAAAUGGCUACUUUUCUUUAACACCAUCUUUGGAAGCUCCUACUUUACAAUUAUUCUACUUCACUUUAUCAAAAGUUGAUAAAUGGAUUGUAAGACUAAGCUUUCAUUUUAGUUCCUAAUCUAUCAAUUAUUUUAUCUAAAUUUCCAAGCCAAUCUUUCUCAACCAAUGCUCCACCAACUAAAAGUAAUGGUUUAUAUCCAUUUUUAGAUAUAUACUAUUAUUCCAAAAUUUUAAAGUUUCUUAUAAUUAUCUUGAAUUGCAUUUUUAUCAAAAGUUUUUCAAAAACAAAAGGUGUUUCUUUCGAAAAAUAAUUGUUGUUUGUACAUGGUGUGGUUUAUACCAUGAGAAUUGCUAUCAUAUUUUAAUUUCAUCUUAGUAUUCAUAGACUGUAAUGAACUGUGUUUUAAGUGGUAGGCUUUAUGGGUUGCUCCAAACUUUAUUGAAAAUUUUGUUAAGCCAUGUUAGAACUUAAUCAUUUAUGGUGUUUUAAAAGAGCGACAGUUAGCAUUGUGUGAUGUCGUACACUUUGAGCUUUAUGAAUUGUGAGGAAUGAUUUAAGUAUUUUAAUGGAAAAAGAUGAGAUGGAGAUGAAAUAUCUUUCGUAAUUAAAAUGAGAUCUAUGUUCAAAAUCAAAGCUAUUGAAGGAAACAAAGUUAUUAAUGAGUUUAGGGUGAUGCUCAAAUCCAUGAAUUUUUAUUACUCUUAUAAAAAUGUAAAAUUUUAAAUAAGAUUUUUUUUUGGAUUCUCUUAAGAAAAAUGAGCUUAAAUUUUAAGCUUUGCAGGUUUUGGAAAGAUUUUAAGAGAUUCAUCCAGUUCUAUGGCAGGUAUCUUUUUUGAACCAUUAGCCAUCCAUGACUUGAAUUAUACUUAUUUGAUCAUGGCAAUUAAUAUUGCUCAUCAUGUUUUUAGUUUAUCUUUUUGGAUUGGUGAGAAAUCUUUUAUUGUCGAGAUGGAUUCUAAAGUGGCUUUAUUUUAAGUGCGUAACUUAAAUCCAAGACCGUGAGAUAAAAAGAGAAUAUUUAACGAGAUUGAUAAGUUAACAUUUGUGCAUACUCUCAAAGAAGUUAACAUCUUUGUAGAUUCUUUUGUCAAAUUCUUAAGCCCUAUAUAUAAUGUGAAAGUAACCAAUAAAUAUCCUAUAUUCACUCCUCAUAACAACACCUCACAAAAAAAUUGAGGAGAAAAAAAGUACACAAGGAUCAUAUACGAGAGGAAACAAUUAAAUUGAUAAAAAAAAUUAAAAAGUGAAACUCAAAUCCUAAUUUAUAAGAACAUAAAUUGAUUAGUAGAUCUUACUACUUUCAUAUGAUUUAUUUAUAUAAUAUAAUUUGAUAGUGUAUUUUGUUUGCUAUGCCUCCUAAGUAGCCCAAACUACAAGCAAGAAAUAAGUCCAAAUAAUAAUGAAAGAUCAGAAGCCAACCAAAUUAUCUUCUCACCAAAAAAAAAAAGUCAAUGAAAGCACCUUAUUAAUCAACUAGAUACAUUCUCAUUAUUUCAACCAGGUUACCAGCAGUCACAGGAAGAUGAACUCAGUUUUGAAGUUGGGAUUUGUACAUGUUUGGGUCGAAGGUAGCUGCAGUGAUCGGACAUAACCUGAUAGAGAAUAAGUAUGGUACAAUUGAAAUAAGAUAGUUUUCGUGUACGCAAGGUAUCCAGCUAUCAUCUUCACCUAUUCCCAUGUGCUUGUGGUCAAGAUGCACUUUCUAAACAAUGAAAAAAAUAACAUGACAAGGUCACGUUGACUGAUAAAUAAGGGGAAAGAAUUUAGAUUUGAGUGAAUAUUAAAUAAAAUCUAAAAGUAAUUAGUAAUAAUAUGCAAGCACAGAUGAACAAGAAAUCCAAAAAUCUAAGCCUUAAUACACCUUUGAUUUAUUGGCAAUUUGACAUGUAUCGGGUGUAUGUAUGCUCUUAUGUACUAUACAAAGAAAAAAUAUUAUCUAUCUUGAAAAGGAUCUUAUGAUUACAGUUUUUCAAAUUCUGACCUGUAUAAAAAAGAGCUACUAUUAUCAAAUAUGUAAUUAACCCUUUCCAAAUUAACAAAUAAUCUUUAGAUUUUGGGAAAAACAAAGUGGAAUCCAUGGAGUAGCUUGGACUUUGCCAUCCGUACCUUUGAACUAGGAAUGAACAUGUAAUCAACUUUUACACAAUAUAUGUGGGCUAUGUUGAACCCCUUGCAACUGUUUUAAUAGAGAGGUUGGAUUUGAUCUUGUUUAAUUUGUUACUAAGCAACAUCUAAAGGAAAUUGGAAACGUUUCAAAUUGUUUUAGGAUAGUGGAACUUGAAGGAGGAAAGAAAAAAAAAAACCUAUAAGUAUAUCCUUUUGAUGUGCAACAUAUAAAGAAAAUGGUGGAGCUAUAUUUGGGUGAUUCCAAAUUCGGUUGAAUGCUUUAUUAGAAAGAUUACGAGGAAUAAGUUCAAUCAUAAGUCUUCUUCACUGAAUGGCAGAAUGAGAACACACUGGUUAUGGAUGACGGAUGAAAAACCAAAGAAUAAAGAAGACAAGCAAAACUCACUGUUUAAAUAAAAGAGAAUGCAGAGCAUAUAAAGCUGGAAAUGCACCGUUUCACUAAGGAGAUUUAUUAACCUUUUCUUUAAUUUUCUAUUAAGUUAGUUGAAUGUAAUUAUUAUGCCUUUUCUUAUUUACUUUACUAUUUAAACACUGUAUAUAUAUUUUUGCUCAUUGAGCAUUGAUUGAAUAGAAAAACCCUGAGAAAUUUUCUCAAGGCUAUGUCGUCUUGUUCUUUUCUUCUGCUCAUUUCUUGACAUGAUAUUAGAGUAGCUUGGAAUCCAACUGAUAGUUAGUAUUCUUUUACAGUAGCAAAAGGACUAUUUCAUCAACAGAGGACAGAUUUGUUACCUAUUCAGCAUCAAUAUUUAGUCUUCUUGCUACUACAUCAUCACUCAGGUUCAUCUAAUCCUUUUAGUAAAAUUUACUCUUUAGUAUUUAGUUCUUAAGAGUACUUUAUUAUCAUUUGAGAAAUCAUGGCUGAGAACAUAUAAUCUAGAACUCAAUCUGGUACACAUACUAAUGCACAAAUCAAUACUCAAAUCACCCAAAUAUCACAUCUAGUAGACCCUCAGCCCCUUUAUUACCUACAUCACAUUAAUAGUCCUAAUUCAGUGGUUAUUAGCCCCAAACUUACUAGCAACAAUUACAUAGCAUGGAGUAGGUCUUUCUUGCUAGAAAUAUCUAUUAGGAACAAAAUUGGUUUCCUAAAUGGUUCCAUACCUAAACCUCAGGGUACAAAUCCUCUUUACCUAUCUUGGACCCGUUGUAACAAUUUACUGGUAGCGUGGUUGCUUGAUUCGAUCACACAAUCAAUAGCCUUAACCAUUUUCUUCAUGGACUCAGUAGGUAAACUAUGGAGUACUUUAAGGCAAAAUUUUGCUCAACUUGAUGACAGGAAGGUCUGCAACCUACAAUAUACAUUGGGAAACAUCAGUCAAGGCACAAAAACUGUGGAUGCAUAUUUUAUUUAGCUGAAGGGAGUUUGGGAGGAAAUGAGAAGUUAUAAGCCUCUGCCACACUACCAAUGUGGAAGAUGUGAUCCCAACUGUUUUAAGAAAUACACAGAUCAAUAUCAAAAAGACAUGGUCUUUAAUUUUUUAAACGGACUCAAUGAAUCUUUUUCAGUUGUCAAAUCUCAAAUUGUCAUGAUAGAUCUUAUCCCAACUCUAAAGUAAGCAUAUAGCUUAGUUCUGAGAGAGGAGACACAAAGGAAUCUGUUAAUUCAAGCAUAAAUCUACUAAUUCAAGCAUAACCAGUCCUUGAAUCUUCUGCUAUGAUGGCUGCUGUAGAUAUCAAGAAGAAAAUGAGAAGGGAUAGUUCAUGUAAUCACAAUGCAAAAGAGGGACAUAUAAAAGAUAAGUGCUACAGACUUAUUAGAUUUCCAGAAGACUUUAAAUUCACAAAGGAAAAACCAAGUUUCAAGAAUGGAAAGGUAGUUGUAAACAAUGUAGUAGCAAUAAAUGACUUGACAAGUGACAGCAAAGCUGAACAUGAAGAAGUGAUGGCUGGAAUAGGCUUCAUGUCUCAAUUAUCUAUCAUAGAGCAACAUGUCAACAAGCUGAUGGAGCUCUUGAAUGAGAAUGGUAUAUGCAGCACUAAUGGUAAGGUUUCUUCACAAAAUACUCAGCAAGAAAGCCAUUCACUUGUCAACUCAGCCUUUGCAGGUAUUGUCUUAAGUCAUCUUUGUUUCAAUACAUUCAAAAACUUACCUUCUAGUCUUGGAAAUGCAAAUGUUGAUGUGAUUGGACAAACUCAUUGGAUUUUAGACUUUGGUGCCACUGAUCAUAUGUCCUAUUCCCUUAAGAACUUCAAUUGUGCUAAACUAGUCAAUAUUGCUAUAUGUAAUUGCCUAAUGAUAAAAGGGCAAUAGUUUCUCAUAUAGGAAUCAUCAAGCUAGGUCCCAAACUAAUCCUUGAGAAUGUCCUCUGUGUACCUAAGUUCAAAUAUAAUCUUAUUUCAAUAGGUCAACUUACCAAAAAUAAGAAAACCUCUGUUCUCUUUAUUGAUAUGCACUGUGUUAUUCAAGACAUACUCUUAUAGACAGUGAUUGUGGCUGCUAAGGUCUUCUCAGGACUGUACUUGAUGUAAGAAAAUUCAGAUGAUCAUGAUCUCCCCAAGUUUCUUUUUGACAAACUUAUCAAAUUUCCUUUUACUCUUUCUGUUAAAACUUGUAAAGCAAAGAACAAAUGUUUUGACCUUUGGUACUUUAGACUAGGACAUGUGCCUUUGGAAAGAAUGAAUUUUAUGCAGAAACAAUUUCUAGACAUUGAGUUUUUAGAUGAUUUAAUUUGUGAAAUUUGUCCAUUUGCAAAGCAAAGAAAACUUCCCUUUCUUGUGCAUAUUCAAAACAUAAAAACAACUUUUGAAUUAAUACAUGUAGAUGUUUGGGGUCCAUAUAAGACACCAACAUUAUCUAAUCAAAGAUUCUUUCUCACCAUAGUGGAUGACUUUACAUGAUUUACUUGGAUUUUUCUCAUGAGAAGCAAGUUAGAUGUUCUGUCAAUAAUUCCUUCUUUCAACAACUAUGUUCAAAGGCAAUUUGGUUCUUUAAUCAAAUGUAUUAGGUCAUAUAAUAAACUAGAACUAAGGAUGACAGAUUUCUUUGAUAAAACUAGAAUCAUACAUCAUUUAUCAUGUGUUGAAACUCCUCAAAAAAAUGGAAUUGUUGAGAGAAAGCAUUAACAUAUCUUGAUGGUAGCUAGGACCCUAAUGUUUUAGUUCGAUAUACCUAUGCAUUUUUGGGGAGAUGCAGUUUUAAUAGCAGUGCAUAUCAUUAAUAGAGUACCUACUAAAUUACUACAAAACAAAUCCCCAUUUGAGUUAUUAUAUGGGAAGCUACCUUCUUAUGACCAUUUAAGAUUGUUUGGGAGCUUGUGCUAUGUGUUUACACUGUCACACAACAGAAAGAAAUUGGAUAAAAGAGCCUUCAAAUUCUCAUGUCAUAGGCUGCAAGUGGGUUUAUAAGGUCAAGCUGAAUGCAAAUGGCCCUGUUGAAAGGUACAAAGCCCGGCUAGUUGCUAAGGGCUAUAAUCAAGUAGUUGGGCUUGACUAUCAAGAAACAUUCAGCCCAGUUACCAAGCAUACAACUGUCAGAGUAUUUUUUGCUUUGGCAGCAACUUUGAAUUUGAAUUUAUCUUAACUUGAUGUAGACAAUGCUUUACUAAAUGGUGAUCUAGAAGAAGAAGUGUAUAUAGAACUGCCAUAGUGGUAUGAAAUUCAGAGGGGAGUAUCCGCAAGGAAUACAACUUGUUUGUGAACUCCAUAAGUCACUAUAUGGCCUGAUGCAAGAUUCUAGGCAAUGGAAUGUCAAGAUUACUUCCCUAAUUCUACAAUAUGGGUUUCAUCAGUCCAUUGUAAACUAUUCUCUAUUUACCAAGAAAGAAAAAGAUGAAACAGUGUCGAUAGAUUAUGAAUAUGUCUCAUUGUAUGAAAUGUAAUAAAUUUGUAGGUUAACACUUUUAUCUCUUUUAUAUUUUAGAUAACCUAAUAAAAUGUAAUAACUAUUUUAUUUUCUAUUCUAACUAUUCAAAUAUUUCUUGUACUAACAAAAAUAAAUCUUAUUUUUUCUUAUCAGAAAUUGAAUGUGAAAUGGUGUAGAGAUAACUCUGAAAGACUUGAAGUAAAAGUCAAAAACAGAGAAAUUGGGGAUGGACCCACACGGCUUUGAAGCUAGAAGGCAGGGUAGAAUUUAUGUAAGAAUUUGACUCCCACAAAGGCCCUUUUCUUGGUGAUUUCUAUAUUGGAAAAGUUUAAACAAGGAAUGUGUAUUAUCCAAUUUCGUUCGAAGCUUCCGUUAUUCGAGUAAGAGAAACGUAUAAAAUGGAGCAAUCAUCUCUAGAGUAAACGACUCUUUGUCAGGUAGAGCUCCCUAGUACCCACGGUUGGUCCUACAGACUUGAUAAUUGCAACAAACAGAAACGGAAACCAACUCAUACUUUACAAUUAUUCUACUCCACUUUAUCAAAAGUUGAGAAAGACUAAGCUUUCAUUUUAUUUCCUAAUCAUUCAAUUAUUUUAUCUAAAUUCCCAAGUAAAUCUUUAUCAAUUAUUGCUCCAGCAACAAAAAGUUAUGGCUUAUCUCCAUUUUUGAAAAUAUACUAUCACUCCAAAACUUUAAGCUUUCUUAUACUUAGUUAUCUUCAAUUGUAUUCUUACGAAAAGUUUCUUAGAACUAGAUGUGCUUUUUUUAAAAAUAAUUGUUGUUUAUAUAUUUUAUGUGGUUUGUACGACGAGGAUUGUUGUCAUAUUUUAAUUUCAUAUUACUAUUUAUGUAGUGUGUUUUAAGGUAGGUUGCCCCUAAUUUUAUUGAAAAUUUUAAAUUAAAGUAUUCAAAAAGCCUCUAUAUUCAUGCAUUUUUGUCAAUUUAGCCCAUAUAUUCAAAAUCUGACCAAUUUAGUUUCUUAAUUUUGAGAAUUUGAACAAUUUAAUCCCCCGUUACGCCAUCCAAAUUUGUCGUUAGAGUUGAUGAUAUCAGCAUUAAUGUGACAUUAAUGUGGUAGAUUGGUUGACAUGAUAGUGCCACAUCACUCUAACAUGAUGAUGUGACAAUGCCACAUGACACUAACAUAAUGACAUGGUUGUCACGACCCGGAACCUCCCUCAAGUCCAUGACAAUUGCCGCGAUGUCCCGAUUAACACUCAUUAUCCGGAAUGUCAAUCGGAACCCCGCAAGGCUUACAUAUCAGUUUCUUUCCUUUCCUGUGAGCAAUCGUUGUUAAAUAUCGAGCUUUUAGAGAAUAUACACUAUUUUAGAUCAAAAACAAUCAAAAUAAAAUUUUUGCCACACAGGGGUAUUUUGGUCAUUUUUUUCUCAAAAGUUUCGAAACUGGCUAAAACGUAAUAUACAAGUAUAUAAACACACAAUUCAUAUUCAAAAUGAUUUUAAAAGUCUAAAAUCUUCAUUUAAAAUGAAAUUACGGUUAUUUGAAUAUAAUAUGAAAAUAAAAGAAAUAUUAAGGGAAAUAUUCUAUUUUCUUAUAAAACAAUAUUUAUAGAGUUAUACGUGAAUAUUUUUAUAGCGUAAAAGCUAAAUAAAUUUAUACAUAUUGAAAUACAAUAAGCCAAAUAUUUAAUUUAAUUUACAAUAACAAGAGGCCCCCGAAUAAACAAAAGUAAAGAGAACUGUGAACCUACGGUUUGAAAAUGCAAAUCCAAUGGUAGUUCUCGAUGAGAUCAACUAUUUAUAGUCUAUACUGAACCUGAAAUGGGUGGAAAAAAGGGUGGUGAGAUUAUAAAAAGAUCNNNNNNNNNNNNNNNNNNNNNNNNNNNNNNNNNNNNNNNNNNNNNNNNNNNNNNNNNNNNNNNNNNNNNNNNNNNNNNNNNNNNNNNNNNNNNNNNNNNNNNNNNNNNNNNNNNNNNNNNNNNNNNNNNNNNNNNNNNNNNNNNNNNNNNNNNNNNNNNNNNNNNNNNNNNNNNNNNNNNNNNNNNNNNNNNNNNNNNNNNNNNNNNNNNNNNNNNNNNNNNNNNNNNNNNNNNNNNNNNNNNNNNNNNNNNNNNNNNNNNNNNNNNNNNNNNNNNNNNNNNNNNNNNNNNNNNNNNNNNNNNNNNNNNNNNNNNNNNNNNNNNNNNNNNNNNNNNNNNNNNNNNNNNNNNNNNNNNNNNNNNNNNNNNNNNNNNNNNNNNNNNNNNNNNNNNNNNNNNNNNNNNNNNNNNNNNNNNNNNNNNNNNNNNNNNNNNNNNNNNNNNNNNNNNNNNNNNNNNNNNNNNNNNNNNNNNNNNNNNNNNNNNNNNNNNNNNNNNNNNNNNNNNNNNNNNNNNNNNNNNNNNNNNNNNNNNNNNNNNNNNNNNNNNNNNNNNNNNNNNNNNNNNNNNNNNNNNNNNNNNNNNNNNNNNNNNNNNNNNNNNNNNNNNNNNNNNNNNNNNNNNNNNNNNNNNNNNNNNNNNNNNNNNNNNNNNNNNNNNNNNNNNNNNNNNNNNNNNNNNNNNNNNNNNNNNNNNNNNNNNNNNNNNNNNNNNNNNNNNNNNNNNNNNNNNNNNNNNNNNNNNNNNNNNNNNNNNNNNNNNNNNNNNNNNNNNNNNNNNNNNNNNNNNNNNNNNNNNNNNNNNNNNNNNNNNNNNNNNNNNNNNNNNNNNNNNNNNNNNNNNNNNNNNNNNNNNNNNNNNNNNNNNNNNNNNNNNNNNNNNNNNNNNNNNNNNNNNNNNNNNNNNNNNNNNNNNNNNNNNNNNNNNNNNNNNNNNNNNNNNNNNNNNNNNNNNNNNNNNNNNNNNNNNNNNNNNNNNNNNNNNNNNNNNNNNNNNNNNNNNNNNNNNNNNNNNNNNNNNNNNNNNNNNNNNNNNNNNNNNNNNNNNNNNNNNNNNNNNNNNNNNNNNNNNNNNNNNNNNNNNNNNNNNNNNNNNNNNNNNNNNNNNNNNNNNNNNNNNNNNNNNNNNNNNNNNNNNNNNNNNNNNNNNNNNNNNNNNNNNNNNNNNNNNNNNNNNNNNNNNNNNNNNNNNNNNNNNNNNNNNNNNNNNNNNNNNNNNNNNNNNNNNNNNNNNNNNNNNNNNNNNNNNNNNNNNNNNNNNNNNNNNNNNNNNNNNNNNNNNNNNNNNNNNNNNNNNNNNNNNNNNNNNNNNNNNNNNNNNNNNNNNNNNNNNNNNNNNNNNNNNNNNNNNNNNNNNNNNNNNNNNNNNNNNNNNNNNNNNNNNNNNNNNNNNNNNNCGAAUUCUCCUUUGAAUUUUCUUGUUUCUCUUGGUUUUUCUUUUUUUCUUCCUUUCCUCUCUAUUUUCUCUCUUCUUCUCCCUUAUGGCCGGCCAGCACUUAAAAUUUGGGUUUAAAUGGGCUGACUUUUCAUUAAAAUAAUAUUAUAUCAUUUAAAAAUGCCACAUGUCACUUUCCCAUUGGCCCAUUUUAAAAAUUUCAUCCAUUUGUUUCCAAAUUUUCACCAUACACUUGUCCCAUAUAUUCAUAGCUUAGAUAAAAUUCUCAGACUCAUCCAAAGUCUCGGUGGAGUAAUUUUUGAAAUUUACACUUUUGCCCCCGUAAAAGUCAAAAAUUACACUUUUGCCCCAAAAAUUGAAAAAUUGCCCAUAGACAUAUUUUUCAUCCCUUAUACUCAUACCAUUCUCCAAUUUGUCAAAUUUGAUCUAAAUUCUCUCAAAAUUUCAAAUUUUGUCCGCGGAUGGCAAAAUUACGAUUUUGCCCCUACACUCUAGAAAUCACCAGAAUUAAACUUUUUCACUUUCUAUCAUUAAAUUAUACUCCAAAUAGUUAAUCUUGGUCAAAACUUUCACUCCAUGAUCAAAUUAUUAUCUUAGGCGGUAAAAUGUCGAUUUUGCCCCUGAGCAUCAAAAUUUUCCAUUUUACCCCAAAUGCACCCUCGAACUCCGAACAAUCAUUGUUAGUCAUUCCUAGACUAUAAAAUAUUAAAUUUUACCCUACGAUUCCUAUUUGAACUAGUUCGAAGUUAAAUCAACUCAAGUGUACCUUUAGGUAUAAUAUCGAGUUUCGUCUAUUCAUAGGUGCUUUUCUAGCGUAAUAACAUGCUACUCAGUGCAUUUACGUCAUGACAUGUGUUUAUAGGGUCGGGUUUUACAAUGGUAGUGCCACAUGACAGUGACAUGAUGUAAUAUAAAAGUAUGUUAUUAGAUUAUUAUUAUAUAAGAAUUAUAGGUAUGAUAGAAUUCUCUUUUUUUAUUUAAUUUACUUGUACUAGGAUUUUAGGCUAGUCAUGUUCUAUUUAAGAGUAGAAUAUUUAUUUUAUUUAAAUCUCUUGUUAAUUACUCUAGUUGUAUUAGACAACUUGAAGUAGAGUUUUAUUAGUACAUGAGCCUAUACUACUAUAAAUAAGACUUUUAGGCUUAGUUAUUAUUCAUAUUCAAGUUGAGAAUAAAUAAAAAAUAUUUUUUUAAGUAAAAGUGUUUAUUUCUCUAUACACUUUUCUAAAGAGCAAGAGGUUCUAGUAUUUUUGGCUUAGUCAAUUAAAGUAGAAUUUUGGUUAUUUUUUACCUUAGUAGGGUUUUUAACCUUGCCAAGAUUAGUGAUUCACCUUAGUGGGAUUUCUAACCUUACCACGAUUGGUGUUUUCCACAACGCCCCAAUGUCAAUUUGUUAUCAGAGCGAGAGGAUCAUUGUUUGCUGCAUAAUUUGGGUUCUUGUCGUUGUUUGUUUCGAUUCUCCUUGUUGAGCUAACAAAAUGAUACCAAGAUGUCAAAAUCGUCAAAUAAAUAAUCAUGAGAUCGAGAUUCAAGAACUACGUCAGCAAAUUUAAGAAUUACAGGAGUAACUCGCAAGACGUGAUGCUACUUAAAUCAAUAAUAAUAGCUCUAGUGAUAAAGAGGAUAGUACAAACCCAGUUUAUCAAAAUUCAUCCUCUAAUGAAGAAGUACCUAUUCAUCGCUUGAGAACUGCUAUUACUUGAGAUUUGAGAAUCAAAGUCGACAUUCUUGAGUUUGAAGGAAGACUUCACCUUAAUGACUUUCUUGAUUAGUUCUACACGGUGGAAAGAGUUUUCGCGCUUAAAUAUAUUCUUAAUGAAAAACGUGUGAAGCUUGCUAAAAUUAAAUUGAAGAAGCAUGGCUUUAUUUAGUGGAAAAAUCUCAAAUGACAACAAGAAAGAGAAGGUCGCAAUAAAAUCAAAACAUGAGAUAAGAUACGUCGAAAACUCAAACGUAAGUUUCUUUUUGAGCAUUAUCGACAAUAAAUUUUUAUCAAAUUUCAUAACUUGAGGCCAAAAACAAUGUUGACGGAAGAAUAUACAAUGGAGUUCGAACAACUUCACAUAAAGUGCGACAUCUAUGGACCUAAAGAGCAAAUUCUAACUUGUUAUCUUGGAGGUCUCAAUAUUGAAAUUGCAGAUGUUGUUCAAUUACUAUUAUAUUGGAACUUAAAUGAUGUCAUUGGAUUAUCAUUAAUGGUUGAGAAACAAUAAUCACGAGAAAGCUCAAUGAGUUCAUCUAGACAAAAAGAUUCUACCUUAAACCGUGGGAGACAAAGUUCGAUAACCAUUCUACCUCUAAAGGUAAACUCUUCCAAAACUUCAAAUAAUAAUAAUAAAGAGACUACUUCUACUCAUGCUUCUAAUGUCAAUAAAAAGUGCUUCAAAUACCAAGGAUUUACGCAUAUUGCUUCUAAUUGUCCAAAUCGAAGAAUUAUUUCCUUAGUAAAAGAAAAAGUUAUACAAUAACCUAUCAUGGAAGAAAUUGAAGAUAAGUUAGAAAUAUUCAAUGAAGAUAAGACAGAAGAAGUUACUACUGACCAUGAAGAAGCUCUUAUUGUUUGUCUUAGUCUCAACACGAAUAUGAUGACUGAAGAUGAAACUUCGUCACAACAUAUUCUACACAAGGUGCACAUCUUAAGGGAAUGUUUGCAAUGUCAUUAUUGAUAGUGGAAGCUGUGAGAAUAUUGUUGCCAACUACAUGGUGGAAAGGUUGAAACUUCCAAUUGAAGUACAUCUUCAUCCUUACAAGCUACAAUGGCUGAGAAAAUGAAAUGAAGUUAAGGUAACAAAGCGUUGUUGAGUUUAAUUUUCUAUUGUAAAUAAGAAUUAAGAUGAAGUCUGGUGUGAUGUUAUCCUAAUAGACGCAUGCCACCUAUUGUUGGGAUGCCCAUGGCAAUAUGAUUGUCGAGCUCACCAUGACGGAUACAAAAAUACUUAUUCCUUCAUCAAGAAUGAAGCGAAAAUUAUGUUGACUCUACUAAUAGUAGAAGAUCGCCUAAAGAGACAAGUGGAAGAUAAAGCACUCACCACUGUGCUUGGCCUAAACAAAGUUUAUUAUGAGUCAAACCAUUUAUGUCUCUUAUUAGUUUCUAAGGAGAAUGAAGUAUCUUCUCUUUUAUCCAAGGAUGGUUAAACAGAAGUGGUCAACAAAUGUUUGGAAAACUUAUUACGAAGCUUUGUGAGUAAACACAUUCGCCAAUGGGAUCUUAUGUUAGCACAAACAAAAUUUUCUUACAAUAAUUCUUUGAACCAAACCACCGGAAGAUGUCCAUUCAAAGUAGUGUAUAGAAAACGCCCACUUAGUCCUUUUAACCUUCUUGCGUUACCAACUACUCGUGAAUCUAGUACUAAUCGUAAAAAACGUGUUAAGCAAACCAAUAAGCUUCAUGAAGAAGUUCUAGAGAAGAUUAUUUAUUAGACUGAUAGAUACCAAAAGCAAACCAAUAAGCACAAAAAGCUAGCUAGUUUUAAAAAAAGAAACUUUGUGUAGAUUCACUUAAGGAAAGAACGUUUUUCUAAGUCCCGUGCAAAAUUAUCUUCUUGAGCUAAUGGACCAUUCCGAGUCUUGGAAUGUAUUAAUGAGAAUGCUUACAAGAUUGAACUUUUUGGGGAUUAUGAAGUUUAUUAUACUUUCAACGUAGUUGAUCUCUCUCCUUAGUAUGAAGAACAUGAAGAAGACAUGGAUCUUAAAGACAAUUUUUCUCCAACCUAGAAAGAAUGAUACCAGAGUCUAUUAUUAGAUUAUUAUUAUUUAAGAAUUAUAGGUAUGAUUUUAUUUAAUUUACUUAUACUAGGACUUUAGGCUAGUCAUGUUUUAUUUAGGAAUAGGACAUCUAUUUUAUUUAAAUCUUUUGUUAACUACUCUAGUUGUAUUAGACAACCUGAAGUAAAGUUUCAUUAGGAUGUGAGCCUAUAAUACUAUAAAUAAGACCCUUAGAGUUAGUUAUUAUUCACAUUCAAGUUGAGAAUAAAUAAAAAAUAUUUUCUUAACCAAUAGUGCUUAUUUCUCUACACUCUCUUCAAAAAAACAACAUGUGCUAGUAUCUUUGGCUUAGACAACUAAAGUAAGAAUUUGGCUAUUUUUCACCUUAGUGGGGUUUCUAACCUUACUAAGAUUGGUGAUUCACCUUAAUGGCGUUUAUAACAUCGCUACAAUUUGUGUCUUUCACAAUGUCCAGGUGUCUUUCACAAUGUCCCAGUAUCAUAACGUGGCAUUAACAUUCUAAUGUGGCAGAUCAAGAAAAAAAAAUUUAAAAAAAAUUUUAGGUCAUGUCAUAGAGACUAAAUUGAACAAAAUUGAGAUGUUUAGAGACUAAAUUAAAAAAAUAUUUAAAAAAUAUAAAUCUUUGAGUAGAUGAUACAUAUAUUUAUUAAUAAGCCAUAUUAAAGUGUAAAAAGAAAUAAAUAUAAAUAUUAUCUUAUUUGGUUAUUUGAUUCCAUAAUAAGUAUAUUAAUCUAUCUUCUUUGAAAAAAUUAAGUUUAAAAUCUAAAAAAGCCUUUAAACUAUUCAUGAAAAUUAAAAUAAGUUCUUAUACUUUUAUUGCAUUCAAUCAAGCUUUUAUAUUUUUAUUUUGAGCCAAAUAAGUCUUUAUACUUUUUUUUGUGUAAAAUAAACUCUUGUAUUUUUAUUUUAUGUCAAAUAAGCCCUUAUAACUAAUUAUUAACUUAGUCAAAGUGCACAUUAUCAUUCUAUAACACGUAGUGCUAACGUGACAUACUAAUAUAUCAUAAUUGAUAAUGAUGUGACAUGUUGAUAUAUCAUAAUUGAUGAUAACUUGACAUGUUAAUUCGUCAUGAAAACAUGACCACGUGGUAUUUUUCAACUUCCACAUCAACAUUAUGUCAGUAUCAUGUAGAUAUAAAAUAACAACUGGUAUUUUGAUUGAUGACAAUUACUUAAUUAUUAGUCAUAAGGGUUUAUUUAAAUUUACUUGAAUAGUUUAGGGGCUUAUUCAGCAUUACGUCAAAAAAAUUUUAAUAUUUUAUAGAGUUAUUUUUUAUAUUAUUAAAGAUUGCAUUACACUAAACUCAUGAAGCUUAAAAUGUGGGAGUAAUUGGUGUUUCGAUAGAAUAUUGAGAAAACACCAAAAGUGAACGUGCAACGGCUAUUGGUGUUUUCUCAAUCUUCCAUCAAAACACGAAAGAAGUUAAAGUCAAUGUUAAAAGCUAAAGCCAAUGCUAGGGAAACAUUUUAAUUGUAGGUCACACCCUUGCAUGAUAGUCACAUAUGCCAGUUUUUUAUGACGAGCACCGUCCAUCAUCAAGCAUCUAUUAUUAACAAUGACAUAUUUUAGUCAAAAAAGAAUUAUAAAUUUAAUUGCUGGAGUUUACACAUUAUGCAUCACAAGGUUAUUAGAUUAUUUUGAACCAUUGAGAGCUUUUGGAAUGCAAACUAAGCUCAUCCUUAUGACCAUUGAUCAAAACAUAUAUAAAAAUGUUAGAAUGAUAAUAUUAAUUUGGAAAAAAUAUAAUAAAUAUUUCUUUUUGUUUUGUAGGGUUUGGUUAUUGAAAAAAAUAUAUAUUUAUAAGAUUAAUUUGUGCGUUUAAUAAAUUUUGUGGUUUUUUUGGAUUCCAAUCUCAAUCAAAUUUUUGUGAUUUUUUUUAAACUGUCAAAUUGAAAUCAUAGAAUCAAGCUCUUGGCUUUUGGCACUAAAGAGAUGAUUUCUUGGCAAAUUAUUUUGUCAUUAAAGCAUUUAAUGGGCUUACUUUGGUUUUCAUACAUAUAUUAAAAAAAGGCAAUUAAAUUAAAAUCAUAUAUAACUAAAUUUUUUGUCACCAGUUUGGUUUUUAAAUUUAAUUUUUUCUACAUGUCAAUUUAAUUAAUAGUAUAUAACUACCAUAAUAUUAAAGUGUCAAAUACAAAUUUUGAUAUACCAAAAUUAAUAUAAUUUUCAAAUAAUUUAUAAAAUAAAAUAAUAAUCUCAGUCAAAUUUAAUAUAAAUUUUUAAAUUUAACUAGUUAAACAUAUAAAAAAAAUAUGUACACAUAUAAAGAUAUAAAUAAUAAUAUAAGCGGGGCAGGACAUGGUGGUGUGGGGCAACCACAUACCAUAACCGCUUUGCCCUGUCCUGCCGAGCCUAUCAAACAAAAAUAUUGGCCCAACCGCAAACCGCCCUACUUUUCAAAAAAAAAAAGAAACACCUCCUUGGAGGCAGAUCGAGGUGGAAUCCAUGGAGCAACUUGGACUUUUUCCAUCCCUACCUUUGAACCAUAAAUGAACAUGUAAUCAACUUUGACAGUGUAUGAGGGCUUUGUUGAACCCCUUACAACUGUUUUAAUAGAGAAAGGUUGGAUUUGGUCUUGUUUAAUUUCUUACUUAGGAACAUCUAAAGGAAAUUGGAAACGUUUUAAAUUGUUUUAGGAUGGUGGCACUAGAAGGAGGAAAGAAAAACAGAACCUAAAAGUAUAUCCCUUCAAUCUGCAACAUAUAAAGAAAAUGGUGGGGUUUUACUUGGGCGAUUCCAAAUUCAGGUGAAUCCUUCAUUAGAUCUUUGGAAGAUUGUUUAUAUGGGAGUGCAUUGAAAAAAAAUGAAUAGUGGUAUGCCGUGUUACCUUGUGGUUCUCAUGGCUUGCAAGGAAUGAUUCUAUUUUUAUCGAGAAGAUUUGGGACAAGCAGGAAAUUCUUUUCUUAGCAAAGAUGAGAUUGGGUGAGGGCAAGUGAAGGAAAUGAGGCUAUGGGUUGUGGAAUGAACCGAAAAGAUUUAAGUGCUGGUCUUUUACUGUUUGAAUUCCUCCUUAUGAAAGAGAAUUAAAGUUCAAUAUAACUGAACCGUCUUGACGAAAAUCAAGACUUGCUGAUUGUGGAGGAGUCCUUGGAGAUGAUAAGGGUUCGAUUAUGGGCUGUUUUUGGUCCUCUGGAAAUUCAAGAGUCCAAUUAUGCACAGUUGAUGGUCAUCAAGCAAUCACUAAAGCCUUUUGCAUCUUCACCGUAGGUGAGUUUCAAGAGAUUGAUUAUAGAAUCUAAUUCUAAGGUAGAACUUGCAUGGAUUUGUAACAAGCAGACAUGGAACCAUCGACAUAUUUUUAAAGAAAUUGAUAGUUUGAAGAGAAAGAUGGAAGAUAUUGUGUUUGUGGAUACACUCCAUGAAGCUAAUACAUUCGGAGUUGAAAGAGCCAAUAUGUUUUCACUUGGUGGUAGGCCAUGUUGCUUCUGUUCUGAGUUGGAACUGCUUUUCUUCCAUCAUUCACAGUUUGGACAACAUUGGCUAGGAAUUAAUAUGAUGUAGCUGUUUCAUUUGUGGAUUCUGUUAUUAUAACGUUUAUGCUUCUGCAUAGUGUUACGAGGCCUGUUCGUUGUUGCUGAUUUUUCAUUGUAAUGCUAUAUUCUGUUAAGGGGUGAUCGGGUGAUAGGUUGGUAGUUCUGUUUCCAUUUAAGGUAAUAGGGUGCUUUGCUCUCUGAACUGUUACUGUUUAAGAGUGCUUCUUGCUGCCUUUGUACUGAUCUCUUAAUUUUGAUUAGCUUUUGUAUACCUUUAAUACUUAAUAAAACCACCUAUGAAUGAGCAAUAUAUAUAUACAAAGACAAGCCCUAUGCAAACAUUAUCCAAGGAAUGUAUUGCCUAUUGGAGGGCAAUACAAAACUUUCCCAUCAGUACGUAGUUGGAUGUUAAAGCAGAGCCUUUUACUCGGAGCAAUGUGUAAUGAAAGUUGUAUUAUGCAUCAAUAAAAGAACUGAGCUGGAAAGAAUGAAGACUUCUGACAUAAUUGCAGAAUAGAACUGAAUACAAAAAUGUUUAAGCAUUGUGAUUCAUACUUCAUCACCAAGAAAAACAGAAUUCUGGCCAUUUAUCCUGGUAUGCAACUUGGAAAGUGCUUUAGAUUAGAUCAAGCGUUUGAGAUGGUAGAAACCUCCUUUACUUCAUUCAGAACAUAAUAUGAGAGAUAGAAGAAAGGAUUCUACAAAUUUUAGCAGAAAAAGAAGAGUACGAAAUCCAUCAUACUACAAAUGGGAAAUACCCAUUGGCAGCUUCUUAACUUGAAUUGGUACAGAAACACUCGACACUGGUACGAUGACAAAAUAAAUUUGGUUUAUACAGAAGGUCCUAGGUUACCCGAUUUUACAUGCUAUCUUGCAUCAUUGAUGCGAAGGAGGAAAGAUUUCCCUUUUUGGGAAGGAACUGCUCCCUGAACAACUUGGAAACCACCAUUGAAUUUUGAGGGCUUCGGAAUAUAAAGUUUACUUCACCCUGUCAGACAAGUUCCACAACAUCAGGUUUUCAUUUUGCAACAAGAUUUCCUGGCAAUAACUAAAACUUUUAGCUUUCUCUGUGUAGGAACAUUACUGUUUUCAAGCUAUGUUUCCCUUUGGGAAAUUGUUGUUCCCUUCACACUGUCACGUGCUAUUGUUGCCAAUACAUACUUUAAUUUCUCAUCAUGUAUCAGAAAUUGAGUACUCAUUGGGAUUGAGGCUCAGAUUGGUGCUUGCUCAUUCAGCCUGGCACAUGGUCAAUGUGCCAGGUUAUAACAAGCAUUGAGAGUGGCAGCAACAAACGCAAUGCCCACUUGGAUAAGUAAUAACAUUCCCCAUUUAGCUUCUUUCUACACCAGUUUGUUUGCUCCCAUUGCAGGCACAAGCCUCUCCAACUUCUAAUUGAAACCAAAAUUAGAUGUCAUAUAAAUCUUCAAGCAUAUAACAAUGUAACAAUCAUUUAAAAUAUUUGAAACCAAUCUUGAAAUGAUUCUGCAAGAAAUUUUAAUAAGUCAGUGAAACCAAUAUGAUUUGCAGACAUAAAAAUUUAAAUGAAUUAACAGAUCCGUUCUGUUCAAGCAUAAGCCUCUGCAACUUAGAAUUAACAUCAAAUUAAAAUCAAAGUUAUAAAUCUUUGGUUCAUACAGAAGUGACCAAGUAUUAAUACCUGAGACCUUUCUUGAAAUGGGCAGGGAAUGUUUUACCAACAACCUGAAAGAAAUAUGUUUCAUAGACGAUGGUAAUGCCAACCACCAGUUCAUUACCAUGAGGAGGUGUAUUCUUUCAUUGUGCUCUUUUUUCUUUCAAUGGCUGAAUCUCUGUGAUGAAAAAAUAUAUAAGCAUAAAGCAUUUGAACUACCUUGAAGCACACAACCAAGAGGAAGUUAUCUAAGAGAACUAAAAUAUGUAAAGCAUCUUCCAUUCAUUGUUCUAUAAACUUCUACCUUCAAGAUUAGCAUUGUCUUACCGUCAACAUUGUCUCACAAAUCAUGCAACCUCCUAAAGUGCCUACAAACAGCAACAUAUCACUUUUCACCUUUCCAAUCUCAAUAUGAAGGUCCUGAUUAAUGUCAUUUUCAUGCAAAAACAAAAAACAAAUCGAUAGGAGAGACAAGCACUACUCAAACUUCCAUAUGGACAAUAGAACAUUAAAAGAUUCUUGAAAUUAUUGAAAAAAAAAUGCUUAAGCAUUGUAAUCCACACUUUUACAUCAGCAAAAACUGAAUUCUGGCCAUUUCACCCUGAUAUGCAACUUGAAAGGUACUUUAGAUUAAAUCAACCAGUUGACAGAGUAGAAACCUCCUUUACUUUGAAAACAUAAUAUGAGAAAGAAGAAAGGAUUCUACAAAUUUUAGUUGAAACAGAUAAGAGUAUAUGAAAUGCACCAACUAAAAAUGGGAAAUACACAUUGUUAGCUUCUUAACUUGAAAUAUUACAAAAAACUUACGAUGAGAUUAUCAAUUUGGUUUGUACAGAAGGUCCCAGGUUACCUGAUUUUACAUGCUUGAGGCAGUCAGUAGCUAUCUUAUCAUUUAUGCUUGCACCACUGAUGCAAAGAAGGAAAGAUUCCCCUUUUAGGGAAGGAACUGCUAUCUGAACUACUUCAAACAGCCAUUGAAUUUUUAAGGGCUAUAGAAUAUAAAUUCUAUGUCAUCCUGUGAGACAAAUUCCACAACAUCAGGUUCUCAUUUUGCAACAUGAUUUCCUGGCAAUAACAAAAACUUUUAGCUUUUUGUGUAUAGGAACAUUACCAUUUUCAAACAAUGUUUCCCUUUGGGAAAUUGUUGUUCCCUUGACACGGUCACCGCUAUUGUUGCCAAUACAUACUUUAAUUUCUCAUCAUUUAUCAAAAAUUGAGUACUCAUUGGGAUUGAGGCAGAGAUUUUGGUGUUUCCUCAUUCAGCCCAGCAUAUGGUCAAUAUGCUGGGUUAUAACAAGCAUUAAGAGUGGCAGCAACGAAGGCAAUGCCCACUUGGAUAAAUAAUGACAUUCCCAUUUUAGUGUCUUUCCAGACUAGUUUGUUUGCUCUGAUAGCUGGCACAAGCCUCUGCAACUUCCAACUGAAACCAAAAUUACAUAUCAUAUUAAACUUCAGGCAUAUAACAAUAUAACAAUCAUUUAAUAUAUUUGAAACUAAUCUCGAAAUGAUUCUGCAAGAAAUUUUAAUAAGAAGUCAUUGAAACCAAUAUGAUUUGUAGAAAUAAAAAUUUAAAAGUAUUAACAGAUUCGUUCUGUUCAAGCAUAAGCCUCCGCAACUUAAAAUUAACAUCAAAUUAAAAUCAAAGUUAUAUAUCUUGGUUUGUACAGAAGUGACCAAAUAUUAAUACCUGAAACCUUUCUUGAAAUAGUCCUGCAGGGAAUGUUUUCCCGGCAGUCUGAAAGAAAUGUGUUUCAUAGAUGAUAAUAAUGCCAAACAUCUCUUCAUUAACAUGAUGAAAUUAAUAAAUAAAAUUCUCCAGCUUUUAAUAAACAUUCCAAUACAAUAGUUACAACUAAAGUUUAUUUUCCUUUACUUAAACUUCUGGUGAAUGACCAAAAAUACAUAUGAAGAACAAAUGAGUAUAUAAGCAUUUAGAAAAACAAAUUAAACCAUUGAAAUCAACUACAACAACUUCUCAUCUUGAUUUUUCUUUUCAAAUGAUGGCAGACAUUGAAUCUAUAUAUAUCGAACCUGGAGAGAACUAUCUGAAGGUUCCAAUAACUUGCAAUUAAACCAUUUUUCUCCAUGAUGGAAGAUAGAAGUUUCUCAAUUCUGCAAAAGCAUAUACUCUUCUCUAAGAAAAUGAGCUUUGGAAAUGCUUGUCCAAAAUUUAGUAAGCAGGAAUCUAUCAGUAGUUAUGCUUAAAAUUGAAUCUUUGGUUUUGUUCACUUCAAUUUAGAUGAAACAAAAAAUGAGAAAUAUUUAACUAGCUCAUCUGAUAUAAGCAUUUAAAGCAAAUCUGAAUUCUUCUAUUCCUUCUCUGCCAUUGGUCUCGCAAUUCCUCAACAUUGGCUAAGCCAAACAUUCAACAAAAAAGUAUGGCAGAGAAACUGAAAUAUGCAAAAUAAUAGUGGGAAAAAGGUUGAAAACUUGGGUUUUGGUUAUUCUUCAUAUAAAUCUUAAUGCUGAGAUAGUAAAGAUCUCAGUGUGUGUAUAGAUUUCACCUUUUGUCCAUCAUCUCAUUGUUGUACAUAUCUACCAUUGUGAACAUAAAAUUUCAAAUUGAUUAUCCUGAAUGUAAUUAGAUAUUUCCAAAUUGGCAUGCCUUAGUCUAAUCAUAAUCAGCCUUCUCUUCUUAAGAGAUGAACCAUCUUCCUAUUUUCUCCUCUAGAUCACACCAGGGAAUAUGCAAUUUGCUCAUAUGGCGUUGAUUUUGGACCAUUCUCAUCUUUAUACUUUUUCCACUGUUGAGUUUGUCAAAUAAUCAAGGAGAAUAUGAGCAUUCAUUCAGGAUGAUGGAAUAAUUAUUGGACAAACAAAUAGUACUAUUAAGGAGGUAUCAAGGACAAAAUAAUUAACAGAAAAUUCGAUAGAUAAACCCUGUUUUUCUACAGCAAAGAAGCAUAAAGAGAAGUUAAAUACCUGGAGGCAUAUUCUUCCCACCAACGUACUACAUUCAAAUUAAAGUUUUCAUUUUUAGAGUUGGGAUGCUUUGGGCGAAGAAGUAAUUCCCCUGAUCCACAAAGUAAUCAAUGUAGCUUCUGGGUGACACUGUUUAGAUCAUGUAUAGUAGUGCCAGAAGUUGAAGAUAUGCCAGGAUAGCAAAUGUUUCAACUAUAGUCAAGGAAGCUUCUAUAUUAGCUCAAUGCAAUUUGCUAGUCAAUUGUCAAGACAUUGUCUCUGCAGAUAGCUGCAAUACGACUUCUUUUCUAUUCUUCUAAACUUAUUUGAUUCAAAAUUUUGUCAAUCCUAUCAAGAAAGUAAGAAACAUAAAUGAAUAGAUGAACAAUAGGGUGAAAAAUACAACUAAGAGCUAGCGUAACUUAAGAAUACAAACUAGUCUAGGAGAAUAAGUCCUUACAUAGUGUCCUUAAAGUAGCAAAGUAUUCAAUAAUGCCAUUACACUAGAUAAGGAUUCCUUCUAUCUUUGUAAAUUUUUCUUUUUCUUUUUAAAUUUUUUGUGUUUCUUUCAUUUCCAACCUUUCAUUUUUUUCCAUCUUGCUGGAGCAUGCAGUGGGCUUCAAAAGGAAAGCAUACUGCAAUUCGAAAAAAGUGGGGGGGGGGGGAUUGUGUAUAUACCUGAUCUAUUUGAAUUUAGGUAAUGUACUGCUACCAUAAGCAUUGUCACAGAUCACUCAUCCUCAAUGGCAGUGUGCCUGUAAAAUGAAGAAAAUGAGAUCAGUCUAACUUUUUUUUCCCUUUUUCUCUAAGUUCAGCAGCCUAUUGUAGAUUGGGUGCUCGAGCUUAAUUCCAAAACAAAACUCAAAACUUGGUUCAAGUUUUAUCAACUUUCAUUUAUGUAAACUCAAACUUGACUUGAAAAAGUAAUUAAGCUACUUAAACUCAAUUCGCUUUAACUAGAUUUGUAAACAGUAUUGAACUAACGAACCUAUAGUAAUUAUGAAAAUAGAGCACUUGAACACUUGAAUUAAUGUAUGUUCUACAAAUAAAAAAAGAUUUAUGAAAAAUAAAAGAUACCUAAUUUCUGGGCGAACUUCUGUUUACGAACACAAACCCUUUCAAAUUUGAUUUUUCUCACUGUAUGGCAAUGUGAGGUACGUGGGCAAUAUUGGGCCACUCUGGUCCUUCAUCCUUCUUGCAUCGUUGUUUUAGCAAUGGACAAUCAGAAAUUCUUAGUUCCAAAAGUGAGGGAAGCAUUUCCUUACUUGGAAGGAAUUUGAGCUUGAGGCAAUUUAGGAUGUGCAAUGAUUCGAGAGAGGUGAGAUUUUGAAAGCCUUUGGAGGACAAAAUUUCAAGGUUGGGAAAAUGUUUGAUGGAGAAAGAGGUGAGAGAGGGGGGCAGAAGCAUUUCUUCAUGAGGGAAUGACGCCACAUCUAGUGAAGCACCGUGGAUGCAGAAAUGCUUAAGAGAGGUGAGUUUGUGCAAACCCCACUCGAUUACUGACUUGCAGAAAUUGGGUUGCGAGAUUGUAAGUGAAAUGAGAUUGGUAGGGAACCCCCCUUCUGGCAAAGAUACCACACUCGCACAAUCAUAUAUCCUGAAUAUUUCAAGAGAGACGAUGUUGUCCAUGCGGUUGGGUAAGGCCUCGAGCUUUUCACAACUCAUAAGAUAGAACUCUCUGAGUUUGGGGGUUAACAAUCCACUUCCUGGGAAAGAAAUCAGAUUUGGACAACCACCAAUAAUAAUCUUCUCAAGAUGGUUGAGCUUGUCCGAUCCACGUGGCAAAGAUCUAAAAUUUUCACAACGGGAGAUAUCAAUCUGUUCAAGAGAAGAGUUGUCUUCAAUUUCAGGUGCUAUGGAUUCUAGAGAUGGGCAACUAUCGAUAGAGAGGUAUUUCAGCCCCUUAGGUAACUUGCCAUUGGAUAAUAAGGAAGCUAACUUGUGACAACCAUAGAUGAUUACAUCUUGAAGAUCAACAGGUAACUCAUCCCUUGCGGAUAAAGAUAUCAAAGACGGACAACCUCCAAUAGUCAAUUGCUUUAUGCUGAUAUUCUCUCUUUCAUCCAGCAAAUACUGCAAAUUGUCAUAACCAAAAAUGGAUAAACUUACAAACCUUAAUUGUAACUCCACCCCUGCAGAUAAAGAUAUGAAAGACUUACAAUCUCUAAUUUCCAAUUUCUCUAGAAAAAAUGUGCCGUUGAUGCUGACAUUUUCUCUUUCAUCCAGCAAGUGCUGCAAAUUCUUGCAACAUCCAAUGGUUAAACUUCUUAAAUUUGCAGGCAAAUUUCCCUUUGAAAAUGAAAUCAAUCUUGGGCAUCUUUCAAUUUGUAGCACCGUAAGGGAUGUGUAGCUGUGUAGGCUUUUUGAUAGCCUUUCUAGCCUUUCACAAUCAGAAAUACCCAAAUCUACAAUAUUGCGAGGGAUUCCCAAUUGCAUUUGCUCUUCCUUUUCGUCCUCAACCCCUAUUGAAGCAAGUUGUGAACAAUUCUGAAUUUUCAAAAAGCGAAGAGCCGACGGAUAUGCUGAGCAUCCUUCCUGGUUCUGCCAUGAAGAAAUUAGUUCCUCACAUUUACCUAUAGAAAGAGAUUCUGCUUUUCUCAACCCUAACAUCAGAUCUCUUGGACAAGUGAAUUUCGAAAUGUUUGAAAGGGAGACACUUUUCAUGAGUGAGCCAAAAUUUGUAAAACUCGCACCCACCACUUCUUGGCACUUAUCAAUUGUUAAGUCGCACAACAUUGGAAGGCCAGGAAGUGAAACUACCAAUUGCUCACAUUGACGAAUCUCAAGUUUCUUCAAUGAAGGAGGACAAGUAGCUAGACUUCUCAAUUUUUGACAUCGAAGAAUCACAAGUUCCUCCAAGGAAGGAAGACAAGUAGGUAAACUUCCUAACAACUUGGGACAAUCUGAAAUGGAGAGCAGGCGGAGUUGUUGGAAGUUUUUCACAUGUCCAUCAACUUCACAAGGAUCCCAUUCCUUCCAUUCAGGCAUGCCAUAAAAAAAUAAUUCUUCUAGCUUUGGAAAUGCAAUUGAGGCAUUUUCUCCGAAAAAGUUUGAACCCACAGUAGUCACCUUAUCCAUCCUGCUGAUAGCAAGGGAUUUUAGCGAU
rnacentral:lncRNA from 1 species